CGACGCGUGCCUCCUCCGCUUCUCCGACAAGAAUUUCCUUGAACUCCUCCAUAAUGCUUCCAUGGCAUCUUCAGCAGAUUACAGCGAUGGUGCUCUCAUCCUGAUGAAUGUCACCACCGAGCCCUUGUUCUCUGGUUGGGACAAGGGCCUCAACCAGGAGACAACCAUCAUCCACUUCAUCAACAUGGCGCUGAACAACACAGUGCAGAAGGUGUUCAACAACACAGGGAAGCACUACGCUGCAAUCCGCAGCACGACCGAUGAUGGAAGCGGAAGCAUUCCGCCAAUCUACUCCAUGGCGCAGUGUGUGCCGGAAUUGAUAGUGGAUUUCUGCUAUCGCUGCCUCACGAAUAUCAGCAACCUGGCGAUGACGAACUUCGCCGGGCGGCAUCGAGGACAGAUCCUUGGUGCGUGGUGUAAUCUGAGGUACGAUACGUAUCCGUUCUAUGGCGAGCUGACCUCCGUGCCGUCGAAUGGUCUUGUUCCAACUCCAGCACCGCAACCCACCCCGCUGCCAGCACCAUCUCCCAAUCACAAGAGUAAGCAGCAUUUCUUUACUGUCCAUUGACUCAUCAAGGAGAAGAUUGUUUUCAUAUCACCACGCGACAAGCAUUGUAACUAGCUAACCAUUUGCAUUUAUUUAAUAGAGCCUCUUGGAAGGGCCUUGAUUAUUGCCUUGGUUGCUCCACUAUUUGCAUUGUUUGUCUGCGUCCUCGUUUCCUUCAGAUUCAUAAGGCACAUAAGAGGUCGGCAACCUUGACAAAAAUAUUUUUGAGCUUUAUUUCAUGUUUUUUCAAAAUACUAGAUUGGUGUGAUUGUGCAUUAAGUUUAACUGAAUGUAUCACAUCAACUCUGAAUUUAGCUAAGAUGAAUGUCCAUGAAGAUGAAGCACUGAUUUGGGGACUGGAAGGAAGGAAUCCGGAAUUCACGAUUUAUGACUUUUCACAAGUAUUAGAGGCUACAUGUAAUUUCUCGGAAAAUAACAAACUUGGGCAAGGAGGCUUCGGUCCUGUAUACAAGGUACACAUGAAUAUGCCCAUACUCAAAAAGACAAAACCAGAACUUCAGCUUUACAUAUCAUUCAAUUAUGCAGUUAACUCUUCUUCGUUUCUGAUUUGUCUCCGACAGAAUAUUAGUCAGGUAUCACUAACGGUCGGUUCUAAACUUGUCCCAGGGCCGAUUUGCUGACGGGCUGGAGAUUGCAGUCAAGAGACUUGCUUCACAUUCAGGGCAAGGCUUCAUAGAGUUCAAAAAUGAAAUACAACUCAUAGCUAAGCUCCAGCACACAAACCUUGUUAGGCUCUUAGGAUGCUGCUACCAGAAACAGGAGAAACUACUAAUCUAUGAAUAUUUGCCAAAUAAAAGCUUGGACUUCUUCAUUUUUGGUAUUACUUCUCACUUCAUUGCAAUACAAAAUCUUGGUUAUUAAAUGUAAGUGUCAAUUGUAUUUUCUUUAAUAUACCUAUGAUAAAUAAUUUGCAGAUGAAACCAGAAGAGCCUUGGUAGAUUGGAACAAACGGCUAGAAAUAAUAGAAGGGAUAGCACAAGGACUUCUAUAUUUACAUAAGCACUCUCGCUUGCGUGUCAUCCAUAGAGAUCUCAAAGCAAGCAACAUUCUCUUGGACCAUGAAUUGAACCCAAAAAUUUCAGAUUUUGGGCUCGCAAAAAUAUUUGGCAUAAAUGAUACUGAACGAAACACAAAGAGGAUUGUUGGGACAUAGUAAGACUUACCAACUUGUCCAUCCCAGCUAUACAAAUAGCUAACAAUACUGUUACUUGACAUAAGGAUCUAAUUACAUGUCCUUUCAGUGGUUAUAUGGCUCCAGAGUAUGCUUCAGAAGGCCUCUUCUCAGUCAAAUCUGAUGUAUUCAGCUUCGGUGUGCUUAUUCUUGAGAUUGUCAGCGGUCAAAGAACAUCAGGUUUCCACCGAUAUGGAGACUUCAUCAACCUUCUUGGGCACGUAAGUGUUUUUCAAUUCUGAACAUGAAAAAAAAUGUGUUUAUGAUCUUUCAAAAAUGGUAAGGAAAAACUUUUGAAGGGCAUGACACUGUUUUCAAACUACCGCGACUACUCCACCACUAACAGUAUUCCCUUCUCCGGUGGAUCAUUGAAGCAUUUCCAAAAUCAUGAAGUCCCUUUAUGUAUUUUGUCAUCAUAAUCUUUCUGCAUUUUGCGCUCGUGCACUUUGCAGGCAUGGCAGUUGUGGAAAGAAGAAAGAUGGCUUCAGCUCGUGGAUGCAUCAAUUGCUGAGAAUCAGAAUCUAGGGAUGAUGAGAUGUAUUAUUAUCGCAUUGUUGUGUGUCCAAGAAAAUGCUGCUGAUCGACCCACUAUGUCAGAUGUGAUUGCCAUGCUAAGCAGUGAAAGCAUGACCUUGCCUGAGCCUAAGCACCCGGCAUAUUUCCAUGUAAGGUUGACAGAGGAUGAGGUGUCCACACUUGUCGAGCCUUGCAGCCUUAAUUAUGUCACAAUAUCUGGUGUUGAUGGCAGAUAGUUUCCAAAUUUCGUUAUAGAUCAUGUUAAAACUUUAGUAUUUUGUUCCACUCAAGGGCUUUUCCAGUCUUAACUCUGAAAUCGUUAAGAAUUUCAGCGUCACAGAGUAUCUCUGUGUUCCUUAGACGAAAUGGAGCAAAGCAUAUGCAUGAUUCUGUAGUUUCUCCUUUGUUCAUUUCAUUCAGAACAUGAUCUGAUCUGUAGACACUUGCCUGCCCCUUUGGAGCUAUUAACUAUCGGUACUACUUGCUUGUGGCAACCCUUAAGAUGCAGAUACUUUAUGUACUUCCUUUACUACUAGAGAACACGAUAUGGGUGGGUUUAGCAUCAAUUAGCAGCAAACCAAAACAGACUGCAUGCCAUUUUCUACUACAUCAACAGAAGGACAAGCAUGAUGCAUCCAAUGUUCUCCAAGAUUUAGAACUUGAAACAACUUAUAACCAAUCAAUUGUCACUACCUUUGUUUUACCAUGAUAACAAAAUGCAUGGCUUCUGCGCCAUAUCAUGCCUUCCAACAUGACUGAGGUAUCUAUUGCAUAGUCGACCGUAAUGCUUCAAAUAAUUUAGAAAAAAGUCAGACACAAAUUUUUAUGCAUAAUGGUAUGGUCACGGAAACAUUUUUUCCCCAAACAAUUUUUCCCCAAACAAGUUGAUUAUUACAAAUCCAUUUUCUUUUGAAUCAAAAUUGCAAAGGAAUACAUUUGAAUUUGGUUUAUGCUUUGUACUGGUAUGAUAUGACCAAGCACGUUUUCUUUCACUAUCCAUUUACCCAAAUUAAUUUGGACACAGCUACAGACUUUUUUAACGAAAAGAUACCAGUACGACUUAGUAGUACUUGGUAUGAAGAAAAUGACUUCCUGCUGAACUGACAGUAAAAAGAGAAAAAAAGGGAAAAAAAGAAAAACAUUGCCCGGCACCUCCCUUUCACUUCUCAUGCAUGGUGGAGCUAGCAACCACCAGCUGACAGCAGCUAUGGCACGCUCUGACAGCAGCAAGCGAUUAUGCGCGCAGCUCCUCUCUUGGCUUCGAGGCGGCGCGAGCAGAGGCUGCGGAACAGAGGAGCGGAGCAGAGCCUGCGGAACAGAGCAGCGGAGCAGAGCAGAGGCUGCAGAGCAAAAAAUUAAUGUAAGUAUUUUUAGAAGAGAGUUAGAAAGUUAGAAUAAGGAGGUGUUCAUAUGGGAUGUUUGGAUACUAAUUAGGAGUAUUAAACAUAGGCUAAUUACAAAAUUAAUUGCAUUCGCGAGACAAAUCUAUUAAUCCUAAUUAGUUCAUGUUUUGACAAUGUGAUGCUACAGUAACCAUUUGCUAAUGAUGGAUUAAUUAUGCUUAAUAGAUUCGUCUCGCGAAUUAGUCCAGGAGUUCUGCAAUUAAUUUUAUAAUUAGCGCAAUUUAGUCCUUCUAAUUAGCAUUCAAACAUCCGAUAUGACACUGCUAAAGUUUAGCACCUAGUAUUCAAACAGCGCCUAACUUGCAUAAAACUGACUAACACCACUAAAGCAUUGUGGAAAUUUCGAGAGAGGCCGGAUGAUGCAUGCUUUCCUAGUGACGUGGUCACAACUACCAUGGUCAUGUUCUUGCUUCUUCUAAUGCAUGCCAAACUCAUCAAGCAUGCACAUCGACUGGAGGUCGCGACGUAUGCCUGUAUAUAAAGCUCUUUACAUCCAUUCAGUUGUCAGAGUGAACAAGUAGCGCUGGUAGCUAAAAACCCCAAAGGAAUUAGCAUAGGUGAGAGAAGAGGCACAUCUCUGCUCAUGUAACACUCCAAGAAAUGUGUUGGAACAAUUUCUUUUGAUUUCUUUCCCUCUUCGUGCUUUUGUAUUACGAAAUUGGAGGUUGACAUAGCAGGAACCAGAAGGAACUACAAGUGCAGAUAGAAAAAAAGACAUGUGAGAUGUUGGAGAAAACUGACUUGAUCAAGUGACUCAAGGAAGCCAUAUCAGUCAUUCAACACAAAUCUUCAAACUUGUCUGUUGAGGAUCUAGGCCAAGGAUAUCAACUUCGCUCGUUGGAGGUCGAGCGUUAUUACGUUCUCUGUGUGAACACCUUCGGAGGUCAGAGGUGCAGUGUUCUUUGUCCUUGUUUGCAUGAAUGUGAACAAUGGAUCUCGAGAAGUGAAGGUGUCGUAGAUACGGUGAACAAGCAUGGAAGAGGACUGAGGACUACGAAGGUGAACCGAAGACCACACGUCAGGGACAAGGCAACGUGAGAAGCGUGACCGUCAAGUAGAGUUCAAGUUGGAUUAGGACUUUUUGUUACCAUUUUGUAAGGCACAUUCCAUGAAUGCAGUUGUUGAGUGAGGUUGGUUUGGUAAAGAAAAGGAGAUUCUGUUAUAUUUUAAAAAAUACACUCGGUGUUGUUACCACUUUUCAUUGAGUGGCAUUGUGUAGAUCGGUCGUAGACAAAAGCUUGCGGGUGAAUGUUUAUUGGAAAAUUUUCAGCCAGAUAAACCCCCUUUAAACAAUAAUUAGACAUCAAAGCAUCAUCUCGUUUUUCAUAUCGACGCUGCAAGAGCAGAGACUGAAGAACAGAGGAGUGGAGCCACAUGAGGCGGCCAUUCAAAGAUGUAUUUUUGCAAACUUCUGCAGCAGUAGAACCGAGCCAGCCAUGCCUGGGAUGAGCGCCCACCAGAUGAUGCAGGCGUCGUCGUCUUCACUACCUUUUUUUCUGAAUGGAUUUGCUGUAAAUAUUACUAGAAGGGAGUUUGAAAGAACAAACAAGUAGAUCUUUUUGUGUGUUUUUGGUGUGUGGGAAACAUAUGCUGAUAUGCAUGUUGGAAAUUUGAAGAGAGGGCUGGUGAUGAAUGCCUCUUGCUGGUGAAUUGGUAGAAAGCAACCUGCAUGGUCACGCUUCUUCCUUCUUCCCGAUGCAUGCCAAACGCAUCCGAUAUGCGCAUUGACAGGAGCGCAGGACGUAUGCCUAUAUAUAAGACCGUUUACGUCCAUUCAGUUGGCAGAAUGGACAGGUAGCUUUGGUAGCUCUCACUCCAGAGGAACUAGCAGAGAUGAGAAGAGGCACAUCUCUGUUCAUGUAGCACUCUUAGCAAUGUGUUAGAAUAUUUUCCUUUGAUAUCUUUUCCUCUUCAUGUAUUUGUAUUAUGAAGUUGGAGAAUGACAUCGCAGGAAUCGGAAGUAAUUGCAAGUUUAGAGAGAGAAAUAAUAGCUAAUAGGUGUGUGAGAUGUUGGAGGAAUCUGACAAGAUCAAACGACCAUUGCAAUACGAACAUGCAGACCAGGUGUCAAUUGGUUACCAAAGCUUAAAUUAUCAACUGCCAAGGAAAGCAAUGUCCACAAUCCCUAUAAUUAUCCAGUUGAAUCAUUUCUUAAUGUUCAUUCGGAAUAAAAAUGAUCUCUGUAAUGGACGUACCAAACGUACUACUAAAAAUGUAUCUCAAGAAUAUUCAGCAUUUGAACUAGCUGCCGGCAGUUUUUUCUUGAAUCAUUUGGUAUAUUUUGUGGGAGUGACACUGCAUAAGUAUGCAACACCUGGGAGGACAAAACGAAUACCUCAGUCCUUGGGGAAAGACACAAGCAUGACCCUCCCUUCACGCUAUGAGAAGCUUCAUCAGCAGACUAUGGAAGUGUUAUUUUCUUCAUGCACACAAUGACUAUACAACAAAUUCGCAUGUGGUGGAUCUUUGUGGGGAGGGAAAUGUAUGAAAGUCGUUACAUGGUCAUGUCUUUGCUGCUUCUAAAGCAUUACAAACGCAUCGAUCUUGCACAUUGCUAGCAGUGCGGGAAGUAUGCCUGCAUAUAAAUCUAUCUCCAUCCACUCAGUUGCCACGACGAACAAGUAGUAUGAUAGCGGUACUAUUCCCAAGGAACUACCAGAGAUGAGAAGAAUUAAACUUCUGUUCAUGUAGCACUACUCAAGUGUGUUUUAAAUAAUUCUUUCAGUCCCUUUUGAUCAUUGAAAUAUCAGGCACCUUCACAGUGGUAAAGCUCAUUUUUUAUUUGAAAAGGUGUGAGAUGUUGGAGGUGGCUAAAAUCAUCAAAUCAUCGAUACGCGAUACGCAUUUGAUAAACACCUGUGCUCCCGUACAGGCUAAUGUUUUUAGAAGCUAUUGUAUUUAAAAAUUAUUUAGAAAUUAAACUCCUAGCUAAUAAUUAAAAUUAUUUACCUACUACUCUCUUAUUUUUCAAUACUUCAACAUAAUACUUAUAUAGAUAUGUACCUAUCUUUGUCCAAUUGUGAUUGAUUUUUAAUUAAUAAUUACUCAAUGCACUUUUUCAUCCAUAUUCAUAUUUUUUCCAUUUUGUAUCACACCUCCAAUCCUCCAUACAUUAUGUUUAGCAUACAAAUCAAUAUUUUUCAUUGAUUCCUCACAUGCAUGUAUAAAUGGUCUAAAUGGUGGUACUCAUCAUGUCUAUAUACUUUAACUUAGUAUUUUUCUAUUAACAAUGACAUAAAUAGGUAAUUUAAAAUUAUAUAUUAAUUUACUUUUUGACAUUUCUAUAUGAUGCACUGAAAAUAAUUAGAUUAAGAUUUAGGUGUUUACAUUAGGUUAUUUUUAAUAACGACAUACGUGGAUAACAUAGAUAAAAUUUUAGAAUGACAUUUUAAGUUAUGCUUUAUAAUGAUGUGUAUUACUAAAUUGGAUGAGUGUUAGUUUAGAUUAUUUUUUAUAAUAGUUAAGCUCGGUAAUUGAAAUAUAGGUUUAGAGCUCAUUUUUGAAUAUUUUCCCAAUAAUAGUGGUGGGUAACUUUUUAGAAAAUAUAAUAGAUCAAUGGUCAUGAUUAUUAGAGUUUACAGGAUUGGUGUUUGACGUUUUUAAUUUUUAUGAGAAUUUAUCUUUUUUUUUGGCUUGUCUCAUGGGAACUAAUGCGGAGCCUCCAAUGUAAAAAAAAUGAGACUAUGCUAAAAAACUAUUACCAUAAGCUAGCUCUCGUUUGUUAAAUAUUCGAACACACAAUGCUUAUGUAGAUAUAUACUUAAUAUCUUCAUCCAAUUGUGAUAGAUUUUAGUUAGUAAUUACUCUAUAAUAUUUUCAUCCAUAUUUAUAAUCUUUAAGUUUUCACUUUGCAUCGCAGAUAUGUCCUUGAAUUUGUUUAAUGAACCUUAAGUUUGAGAUACAAUUUUAACAUAGAAAUCUAUAUUCUUAUCACUUUAUAUCCUAUAAAUGGUGACACACAUCAUACGUAUAUACCUUAUUAUUAUAUCGUAUACCAGUGCAAGAUAUAGACGAUUUAGAAUCAUAUAUUGCUGUAUAUUUUUAAUUAAGGUUAUUUGAUUCAAACGUAGAGGUACCUCAUGUUAUUUUUAAUAAUGGCAUGUGUGGGUAAUAUAGAUGCAAAUUUAAGGGGCUACUUUAAGUUUUUUAAGUAAUAGUGGUAGGCAAUUCAGUUGCAAAUUAGGGGGUUAUUUUAAAUAUUGUUUACAAUGGUAUAAGUGUGUAAUUUUGAUGAAUAUUAGGGGGUUACUUUAGUUUAUUUUAUAUAAUGGCAGAGGUGGGUAAUUUAUAUAUAAAUUUAGGGGGUUACUUUAGGCUAUUUUCAUAAUGGCAUAAGUGGGUAAUUUUUUAGAAAAUAUAAUAGAUCCAAUGGCUAUGAUAAUUUGAAUCUAUCGAUGGAUGGUCGGAUGUUUUGCUUUUUUGUGAGAAUUUUUAGGAUUUCUCUCUUUUUCUAGAGUGUCCAACUAGGAAUCCUAGGUGGCUUCACCUGAAGGCUUCAAAAGGAGCCUCCAAUUAGUAAUAGUAAGAUGCUACUGGUUGGAGACAUGGUGUGUAACAUCCCGUCCUCCAAAGCCGUACCGCCCAGCUCUUCCGAGGGACGAGCACACGUACACAUAUCACCCUGCUUACACUUUCAUCCUCGCUUCGUGUAAAAGGGUUAACCUGAAUGUACUAUGGCUUGUUGACAAAGGCUUAUAAGUUGGCUCCACCCUUGCUCAACUAGCAAGGUGGUACUAAACAUACGCACCUGCGCUCAUGGGCCACACUGGACCAACUAAAUUGGACCGGGUGUCACACAAAGUUAACCGACAAACUCAUACAUUUAUGUCAGCUAAUUUUCAAAAUCGAAAAAAAAUGUUCGAUCUAACUCCUGUGUUCCAAUAUCGGCUUCAAACAUCUCGUUACUCCACAUCUCCCUCGAUCAUAUACAAUGUGCAUAAUUAGAAUUUUGUGGUCUUUGUUGGAAGAUACUAUGCGGGACGGAUGAACAAGUGUGCGGCUUCUGGCUUGGCUUCGAGGCAAAACAGAGGAGCAGGACCGGAACAGAGGAGUGGAGCAGAGCAGAGGCUGCAGAGCAACGGAGAGAUGUCCAAACUAGCGUACAGUUGUAAUCAAGUUCAGGCUGCGACCAUUAUAAUCAAAUCUCGUACUUCCUUCCACUCCAACAACUGAUGUGUUUUCUUACAUUGAUCACAUUUACUAUAUACAGACACUGAUUUUCUUCUGGUUCCAUUGAUCCUUCUUGAUAGCAGGCAAGGAGGCCUGGUGGCCGCCCGUGGUGAACAAGGCUAGGGAAGCUCAGGCAGGGACACGAAGCCUGUUGAGGACGUGGCUUUGUGGUGGAGAUAAGUUCUUUAUUUUGACUGCUGUUGCUGGAUUGCUGCCGACUCCUUUCUCCGUCAGUCAAUGGCAAUGGCUCUUUUAUAAUGUCAGUUGCUUAGAGUUGGUGCUAGUUUCCCCAAUACAAUAGAAUAUUUCGUGAAUUUUCUGCUAGAGAAGCCAGGUGAGCAUAGUGCUGCCUAUUCACUCAGUUGUCACGCUUCUACAACCAAUUCAUACCGAAACCAUGCUCUACUUGGGCACAAAGAAAAAGCAUUAUGUAAAAAGUGAACAAGUGGAAGUCAUAACAGUGAACAAGUCAUAACAGAAGCAUGACAAGUGAUAGAAAGUGGCAUGUUACUCAUGCUUGUUGUGGUGCUAAUUCAUGCCAAACCCAUCUAGGGGACAGGCAGUAUGUAAUAUAAGUAUCAUCAUCUAAAUGGUUGUCACGGUGAGCAAGUAGUAUUGAUAGCUGUUACUCCAUGGACCACUCUGUUCUGCCGACUGUUCAUGUAGCACACCAGCCAAAGAGUUUGAACAAUGCCCCUGCACCCUGUUUUUUUUUUGUGCCUGCAUGAACAAGAACAACUGCAGUCAAGUCUCAUGAGAGAACAGGCACAUGUUUGUCAGACAUUGGAGGAAACUGAACUAACCACGAGACAAAACAAACCACAUAUGCCGAAUUCUGAUGCAUGCUACAGUAUUCUGCGAAUGCUGAGGAGGAUACCGGUGGUGGUGUAUGAAGUCAGCAAAGAUGGCACCGACGUCUCGGCGAUUGAAGGCGCCAUUUGUCUCAGCGAGUUCGACGAGGGCGAUGAGAAGGUACGCGUGCACUCGAGGUGCUACCAUGGCUUCCAUGUCCAGUGCAUCGAUGUGUGGCUGACCACGCACAACUUGAUCCUCGAGGAAGCGUUGCAUGCUACUCAUGAUCUUGCAGCUUAAACACAUAAACUUGGGGGUUGGCAGUAUGCAUAGGCGUACAUCCAACACCGUACUAGAUGAACUUGCAUAGAGAACACAUUUUAUUUGAUGAAUAACUCCAAGUGAAGUUAACUGAUUUCAUUGAGAAAUUGUUCUUUCUUUUUGUACUUCAGUCAUGAGCUUGGAAGCAUCAAAGUAUGUGUGUAUUUUCAAAUUACAACUUUGCAGUGAUUCGCGUGAGAUGUCGGUGGAAGCUGAAGUGAGGGAGAUGUAAGCAGUAGGUCGAAAUGGGAUUCUCCAUGCGCAAGACCCUUGUUCCGUUGAACUAGCUGAAUAGCGCUGUUUAAUACAUUUCUAAAACAACUAUGUAGAGAACAAUCGUACUCUAGUUGUACCCAUUCCCUGCCAAAUCCCAUGUACUAUCUCCUUGAUAUACUGAGAUGAUCUAUUACUAAUAUUGUUGAUGACCUAUUUAAUAAGGGGAAGAUCCAGACACACACACGUAACCUGAAGUGACCACUGAAUCAUUGAUACAGUGGUAUUCUCCAACACAUAAAUGCUACACCUAUGUUCAACUUCUUUGCAAAAGAAUAUGAGCCUGUCAAACUCUUCUUCAGGUGAAUGAUAUUUUACAUGUUUUGGCAAACUCAUUUUAGACCGUUAGUUAUUUAAUCUGAUGACCCAUAUCAGUCGCCGCCCGUCCUACCAAGAGAUAACAACCUUAUACUAGGAGAACCAAUCCAUGCCAAGAAUCACAUCAAAAGGCUCCAACGGACUCACCCGUAAGUUAGCAAUAAAAUUCUUCUGCAAGAGUGACAACACAGCCUGAACAAACUAUAGAACUUAAAACAAGCCAAGCCCUCUAGCAGAACUAACAAGAAUAGCCUCCCCGAUCCUUUCAACAGAAAGACCCAAAUGACCAACAGAAGCCUUCGAGACGAAAGAGAAACUAACUCCAGAAUAAAAAAAGAGCAUGAGCAUCAUAGGAAUCAACCGAGAUGAUACCUGUCACCACGUCACCACGAUCUCUAGCAUUAGUGGUAGGCAUAACAUAUGCCCCCGGAACGCCAGAUGAAGAAGAGGCACCCAAAGUAGGACCCGUCGGAGUGGGAGCCCAUGGAACCAUGGGUGCUGAAGGAGUAGCAUGGGGCAUCCAGUAAGCCCCAGUCUGAAGCGUAGGGGCAGCCGACGGUGUCACCAGUGUUGCUAAGUAUUGAGGUGUAGGGGCAGGUAGGUACUGCUGUGGUGGUGGUGUAGGUAGGUGAGGAGUAGAAGAUGCAGCUGCCAUCAUAUGGAAUGCACCAUUGGGAGCUGAAGAAGACACUAGCUCCCAAUUAAGCUUGGCUUCAGGAUUCUUCCUACAAACCAAGUCCUUAUGAUCUUGACCACAAAUAGAACACUUGUUGGACCAUCGACACUCUUGAAGACGAUGCGCAUCUCCAUAUUUGAAGCACACCAUCCCCAUGCCAGGUUUGGGAAUGGCACGGUACUAAGGAGUACUCCCUCCUAGAGUAGAAGACUGAGCUGAACCACCAUGGUAUGGCUGGUGAUGCUGAAACUUGCCCUUCCUAUGAACAGGACCACUAGAAUGGCUCUUCUUGUCACCCUGACCACGAGAUUGAUCACCACUAGAAGACUUAUUUAGAUCAGCUGUGACCUGAAGCUGCAUCUCAACUCCCAAGGCUUUCUCUACCAUGGAGCGAAAGUCUGUGACUUCAAAGGCGCCCAACACAUGGUGAAUUGAAGGCUUAAGGCCUUGUCGAAACUGCCUUGCUUUGUCAGUAUCAUCAUGGGACACAUGUGGAACAAAGUGAACAAUCUGGUUGAACCCCACCUCAUACUCAAACAUUGUCUUCCUUUCCUGCACAUAGUUAUUUAGCUCAAUUUUCAUCUUGUCCAGGAAGGUCACUGGGUAAAACCUCCUCUCAAACUUCCUAACAAACUUAGGCCAAGUCAAAGAACCAUGUGCAGCCGUGCGAGAUGACUGCAGUACUGCACACCCUUCCACCAAAUCUGUGCCUCACCCUUUAGUAAUUGUGCCCCAUAACAAACACGAUCAUGAACUGACAGCUCAAAAGCUUCCAUCUUAUCCUCCACAUAUGACAACCAAUCAGCAGCCUGAAUAGGAGUACCACUGCCAUCAAAACUAUCCAGCUUCAUGCCAACCCACUCUCUCAGUGAGACACCACUCUCAGGGCCAACUGGGGCAGCAACCUCCUGAGUAGAGCUAGUAGGAUUAGGUUGUAUGCCUCAAAGUCCUCAUCUCAUUUUGCAUCUCACGCAUUGCGGUGAGUAAUUCUGUUUGACUAGUGCCAUCAGCUUGGGCACCACCCGCUGGUCGUGCCCGACCUCACUUCUUAGGCGGCAUAACUACAGCCACCACAACACACAAACAGCACAAAUAUCAAGCUCCAACAAUUUAAAGUAUGCACAAAUGACAAAAUAAUCCACACACAACAAAAUGUACCCAUACCAACCUACAAGUGCAAGUGUGUCAAAUUAGACCUUAUUUUUCCUAGGAUUAAAUUAACCUAGGCUCUGAUUACCAACUGUAACACCCAAAAAAAAACAAACACCACCUUGGGAUGCUACUAAGCCACACCGGACAAAAGGGAAAGAUUUUGACAGCAUCUCCCCUAAAACAGGAACAUUGCGGAAGCAACAAAUAAUAAGGUAUGAAAAUAGAUAAAGCACACUAGCAUAAAUGAAAGAUCCUAACAUGAUAUCCAAACAAUUAAAGGUAAGGUUUAACAAAUCUUAGCCAUCAUUAAGCAAUAAUCAGACUCAUAGAGAAGGACUUAACUAUUACAGUAUCACACUAGAAAAUUUUGAUUAAAGAAAAGUCUGUGACGUGAUGCUACUUCCCAACCCCCAAGCAAAGCAUCCAUCCAUCAAGUACCUGAGAUGAUAGAACAUGGAUGAGAUAUAAAAUCUCAGCAAGUAACUUGCUUUAACAAGCUAUUUAAACUACAAGUUCAUUAGAUAAUGGUUUAACUAUUAUCAGCAAGCAUAGCUCCUUAAUUAAAUAAUAAUAAUAAUAAUAAUAAUGUCAACUCCAACACCCUCGUACAUAAAUAAAACCAAUUCAUUGCCAAACCUUGGAGAAGUUUCACUUCUCACCACCAUUAUCAAAUAAAUGGCAUAAAAAAACCAAUAGCACCCUAAAUGCAAAUGUAAUGCAAAUGCCAUGUCUCCUGCCUUCAUACUCAACAAAGUAUGAAGUUGCAUCGUCAUGCCCAAUAAACGAUGUUGUACCGGUACGGUCGUGGCUAUCAAGCGGCGACAUAACUCCAUAUGCCAUGCAUUGUGAUGCAAUGAAAUGAAAUGCCAAGACAGAUCGCACAGAAAGAGUAUACACCGCAGGUACGAGAUAAGACUUUCUUCAUUUGACAACAUAAACCUCAUCCUAAUUAUGCCAACAAGAGCCAUUACCAAGUUAUAAAGUAAAGAACAAGACAUAUGUAAUAACAACAGUAAGAUGUGCAUAAACCUAUAAUUGAAUGGAUCAUAUCGGAUAAGUUGUCAUUAUGAAAUUUAAGGUGGAGGUAGAAAAAUAGCAAAUUAAAGCUUGUAGCAACCACCGCUACAUUACUUGCCUCCCGAUAAAGGAGACAACUGCUCUAAGCGUGAUCCGGAGUGCUACCACCUGUUUUGACACAAUAAGAUCAGAGCAUAUCCUCAAACAACCAUGUCCACACAGCAAGUAAAGCACUCAUACAGCCCAACCCGACAAACAAGUGAUAAUGGUGAACAUCGCCUAGGCUAACCGUAGCAGUGCUGCUUCACUUUUUUUAUCAAUCAAUCCAUGGAGGCUAUGAUAGCAAACAAAUACACUUACUGAAUCUACAUAACAAGGACUAGAACUUUCAUGAAGAGCUUAUAUUUUAUCAUGCCUUUAAGAUGGCCUAAACUACUGUUGAAAACAGAGUUCAGAAUCUGCUCGAGAAUUGAGACAGCAAGCUUCAUAUUUUCAUAUCUCCAAACCCUUAAGUCCAAAAUUUAUGAAAUUUAAUGAUGCAGCAGAUAAUUUGAUACCCUACAACUUUAGUAUUAUGAACUUUUACAGAAAAAGAUAAUUAAAUGGCCCCAAGCAUGAACCAAUCUUGACUGAAAAUUCUGCUGAGGAAACAAUACAUUGAGCUUGAAAAUCUAUGCCUAGAGUUUCCAUUAUCCACAAAUCAUGAUAUUUAACUAUUCAGAAAGAUAAUGUAAAUUACUACAAAUCUCUUAUAAUUUCUAGAGUCCCAUCAUGCCUCUAUGUUUCUCGAAAACCUCUUACAUCCAGUUCUGUCCAUAAAUUUGUCAGGGAAAGACAGCUUGCUUAGAAAAAUCAUAACUCCCAAAGUAUUGAUGCCAAAAUCAUGAAAUUUCACAAGAUAAUAGAUCUGAAGGUACUCUACAACUUUGUAGAUCAUCACAACACUCAAUUCAGAUUCCAAUUGGCCCAAAUCGCUCUCCCAAACAAGCUACAGGAACUGCACAACCGAAAUCCGAGGAAUGACAUCCCAAUAACUUUUCUUCCCCCCUAAUCCCCUUACACCCAAGGCCAAACCCAUCAUACACAUCUAAUUUGUGCAGGGAAGGACGGAAUGUAACUCACCUUGGUCACCCACAAGCCCUAGGGCAGCGGGAAGAUAGGGGGAAAAGACCGAUUUACAUGGAAGAUGCACCUUUCUUGCUCCUCUUGUUGUCCUCGAUCCGUUUUCCUAGUUUCCCCCGAGAGUUUGCUGCUGUAGAGAGGGGAUUUAGGGAAGGGAAGCCAUGGGAGAGCAAGGGGAGGAGGAAGUAACGUGAGAAGGAAGAGAGGGCUGGUCUGGACGAGAUGAUGAAAGAAAGGGGGCGACGGCCCAGGGAAAGGGGUGGGCUGGCUGGGCCUUUGAUUUUUUUAGUGUGUUAAACACAAGGAGAUGACAGUUGUAUUCCUUCAGUCGGCAAAUGUACUCCCUGUACUACCACUACACCAGAAAACAUUUUUACUGGUGGGUAAAACCCCAUUGUGCUGGCGGUUUCCGCACCCGCCAUCAACUUUGAGCCAGCACAAAUGGCUCUUUGUGCUGGCGGGUGCUUGCCCGCCACCACAGUGCCUCUCUAUGCUGGCGGGUGCUUACAUCACCUGCGAGCAUAGUUAAUUUUUCGAUUAAAAAAAAGCAUGCGGUCGCCGCCGCCCGUAUGCUCCUGCCUGUCGCCGCUGCCCCUUCUGGUCCCGCAUCGCUGCCGCCGCCGCUGCUCCUGCUCCACCACCACCACCAGCCCGCCACCGUCUUCGAUGAGGCAGCCGUCGUCGAAGCUCCACAGUCCCAUCCCCUCGUCCACCGCGACGGUCGCCGAAGAUGAACACGUCGAACAGGGCGUUUGACUCGCUGGCAUGGCCCACUUUCCCCACAGGCGGUGGACUGUAUUGGGCGGCCUUGCGGCGCUUGCUCGACGCCGGCGCUCUACCACGAGAAGUUCGGGAGCGCGCCGGAGUUGGAGCUCUUGCUGGCCUCAUCCUCCUCGUCGGCCACCACGCCGCCAGCCACCGGCCCCGUGCGCCGCCUCGCCGCCAGAGGCCGGGCAUACCUGCGCACGCAGAGAGAAUACACCUAAGGUUAAACAGAAAAAAAAUCAAACACGGGGACGAGGAGGGUGGGAGACGAGCGGGAUUGUGGCAUGAGCGUAGGAUUUUGCCAUAGAGUGGCGUACUUCCAGAUUAGAGGGAUGAAGUGCGCGUAGAUGCCGGCCACAGAGAACUCCGAGCGGAUGAAGGCGGCGUCAAAGACGGAGCGGCGCAACGGCGUCGUCUUUGAUGCGGAGGCCGAGCCCCCACGCGUCGCCUCGCCGCCCGCACGUGGAGAGGCCGGGGCCUCGCCCACCACCGGAGGUCGAGCCCCUGCGCGCCGCCUUCGGCCCCGUGCGCCUCUGCUCCCCGCACCCACCCGUCGCCGCUGCGAGUGGCCGCCGCUGCCGCCGAGUGACACGGGGGAGAGAGUAUAUGAUUAGUUAAUUACUUUUUAACCAUUCUCAUUCAUGUAAGUUGGAAAAAGCAUUUCAGUGGCGGUGACAGAAGCAUCUGUUAGCACAAAUGACCUCUAUUUGUGCUAGCGGGCACUUGUGUCACAGCCAGCACAAAUGCAUUUGUGGUGGCGGGUUUUAACAUGCUAGCCUGGGGUUCUUUGUCGUGGUGGGUGUGGCGGGUGGUAAUUAGGCCCAUCAGCAAUAAAAAAUCUACGUGUCAACACAAAUCAUUUUUAGCGUAGUGCCACUGAUUUGUUUUAAUAUUUAAAUUAAAAGGGGUUGAGUUGCAAAGUAUAGCAGGUUAAAAAAAGCUGAAAUAGUUAAAUCUUUUUGCGCAAUAAUUGACCGAAACAUGACGGCUGCCACAGUCGCUUGGUGAACUGAUGUCGAGAAAAUAUCUGUAAAAGGGAAACUGCUGAGAAACUGAUGUCACGAAUUAUAGUCACACGAUGUGAUGAUAGAACUCAAGCAGAUCAGACAGCGAAAUCCAAUAAUGCACGUAGAGACAAUCGCGAAAGAAGGAAUAGUCAAGUCUUCGGCGACUCGACGGAAGCGCUGGGCCACCCUGCAGGCAUCCAGUAGGAAGCUGCAUCACUACAUUACACACAACAAGCAUCAAGUAAGAACGUGGAAGCUGCACAUCUAUAUCCAGCUGCGAGAUCACUAUCUCUCGUCCCAAGGCUUUUUACCAGUUCAAUUUGAACAUGAUACUAAAGAUAGCAUUAGUACCGCAUCCAAAUCUGAGAUCUCCCACAGGCCCUCUAGUACCCAUUGCUGGUUCCACACGAUACUAAAGGAUUUAGUACCGGGUAGAGCCAUCAACCGGUACUACAGGACCUUCUCAUUUUUUUUCACGUGCCCAUCUCCUCCUCCUUUUUUCCACACGCCGGACAUCUCCCUCCUCCUUAUCUACUCAAACACUUAUCCUCCAUGUGCAAACACCUCCUCUCCUCCUCCUCCUUCUCUCUCAAUCUCCUCCUCCUCCUCCUCCUCCUCCUCCUCCUCCGCUACUGCCUCCUCUCCCCUCCCCCCUCCGCUCACCCCUUACCGGUAGCGAGGAGCGGCGGCGGGGCGACAACGGAGGGAGCGGGAGAGGAGGGGGUGGAGGGAGCGGCGGAGGAGGGGACGGAGCGGUGGAGGAGGGGGCGGAGGAGGAGGAGGGAGGCCAAGGCUGGCGGGGAGGGGCGGCAGGGAUGGGGGGAGCUAGCUGGUGAUUUUCUUUUUUUCUUAAUUUUUCAACACCCUCUAAUACAGGUUAUCUCUACCCGUACUCGAGGAUCCCCCUCUAGUACCAGAUUGCUAGCUUCGGUUGCACAACCGGUACUAGAGGUGGGAUGGGAACCGGUACUAAGCCCCUUUUUCUUGUAAUGGAUCUUCACCUUCAGCUCAACGGGAGGAGUUCCAAUGAGGAGAUGCUCAUCGCGUUCCAGAACCACAAGGAGGGACACCGGCCGGCCAAUAUUAUAUCUGAAAUAUUAUCAAUUCAAGACAGAUAUAUUGGAAUUUCUAAGACUUGUUAGCACUAGUAGAGAAACCAGCAUUAGUUCCGGUUAGGAAACCUUAUAGAUCUUGGUUUCCCGAACGGGACUAAUUAUUCAGGACUAAAGGUCUUGACCUUUAAUACUGGAUCUUUCACUCAGGGCUAAAGGUACAUCUUUAGUCCUGAUUAGUAAUACCAAUAUUUACUAAAGGGUUUUGCGUGAAAAAAAUAUCUGGAAAAGGGAAACUGCUGACAAACAAUCGAGGGUUCUUAAGCGGCGCAUAUCUUUGUAGCUCGUACCAUCGAGUCCGAUGUUGGGAAGCUCACAGUGAUGAGGCAUGACAGACCACCUCAGACGCACGGAGCACGACACAAUUAUUCCGGUAGCCACACGCAACACAAUAAUAGACCCAGGCAUACUAGGGCAGUUCCAACACAUAUAGGUAGUAUCUAUACUCCCACGUAAGUACUGCAUCAUUCUAGAAAUUACACUCUACAACCUCUAAUUUUAAAGAGAAUUCAUAAUCUCUUCUCUCAACCAAUUAUAUUUGUUCCUUAUCAAUUAUGAAGACACCAUCUUCUCCUAAUGCAACAUUCGACAAUGUCUCGUGCAUAGGUUCUUGUAUUGACACUGGUCUUGCAUGAGAUCUAGUUUUCUGCUCUUCUCUCUCAUUUAAUGUAGUGCCAUAUAAAUUAAAAGUCCUAUGUAGCAAAAUAAAUAAUGCUAUGAAAAUCAGUCUAGUUGCAUGGUUGGGACUGCCCUUCGAUAAAGAAAGGCAACGGACACCGAAGAAGCUUUGGUGGAAACUAGUUGAGUCUUCGUGGACUAGACCCUACCGCACGCAGGGUCACCACCCACUGGUAGAGAAGUGAGCUUUAAUCCCGGUUGGUAGGGUGCUUUUAUCUCGAAAACGCAUCCGGGAUAAACCAUCCGGGACAAAAGGGGGGGGUCUUUUAUCCCGGGUCACUCAACCGGGACAAAAGACCCCCUUUUAUCCCGGUUGGUAACACCAACCGGGAUAAAAGGGUUGAGAGCGCCGACGCUGCAAAAAAAAAAAAUCCCGAGCUCCCAGGCAGGCCCCCCACACGCGCAAGUUACGCGAUUUUUCACGCGAAAUAUGCGCGUGCGCGGUUCGUGGGAUUCGAACCCACAACCUCCAGCCUCGCGCGUAGCUUCCUUACCAUCCCACCUACACACCACAUCUGACUAUGUAGGGGAUACUAUCCUUUUGUAUUAACUCGUGGGGGACCCUUUUAUCCCGGUUGGAAACACCAACCGGGAUAAAAGACCCCCUUUUAUCCCGGUUGGUGUUUCCAACCGGGAUAAAAGGGUCCCCCACGAUUUAAUUCCCUUCCAGUCACCUUCCAGUCACCUCGUGGGGGCCCUUUUAUCCCGGUUUGAAACACCAACCGGGAUAAAAGGGGGUCUUUUAUCCCGGUUGGUGUUUCCAACCGGGAUAAAAGGCUCUUGACCCUUUUAUCUCGGUUGGUGUUACCAACCGGGAUAAAAGGGGGGGUCUUUUAUCCCGGUUGGUGUUUCAAACCGGGAUAAAAGGCCUCUCAGAGUCUUUUUUUCCCAUUAGCCUUUGCAACCGGGAUAAAAGGUUCCGGUUGGUGAGCCUCCCACCAGUGACUGAGUUUUAGUCCCGGUUGGUGAACCUUUUAUCCCGGGCCAACUUUAAACCGGGACAAAAGGGGGUGGAUGGAAAGUCGUUUCUCUACUAGUGACCGAUGACGUCAGUCCAAUAUUACUGCAUUACAAGGAAGGUGAUAAUGCAAUAUAGAGUUCAUCAUCAUCAGCUAUCACUAUAAGAAACUAAUACAAUGUACUAGGGUGAAAAAAUAACCAAUAUACUCGGGUGAAAAAAUUAGACGGCGUUAAACUGUGCCAUACACAUAUAUAUUUAUAUUUACUAGUCCAUCGACCCUGCUUCCACACGAGCUAAUAUUUUUAAAAGCUAUUGUAUUUAAAAAUUAUUUAGAAAUUAAACUUCUAACUAAUAAUCAAAAUUAUUUAAUUACCGCUCUCUUAUUUUUUAAUACUUCAACAUAAUACUUAUAUAGAUAUGUACCUAUCUUUGUCCAGUUGUGAUGAUUUUUAAUUAAUGAUUAUUCUAUGCACUUUUCAUCCAUAUUCAUACUUUUUCCAUUUUGUGUCACGCCUCCAAUCCUCCAUACAUUAUGUUUAGCAUACAAAUCAAUAUUUUUCAUCGAAUCCUCACAUACUUGUAUAAAUGGUCUAAAUGGUGGCACUCAUCAUGUGUAUAUACUUUAACUUAGUAUUUUUAUAUUAACAAUGACAUAAAUAGGUAAUCAUAUAUAUUAGUUUACUUUUUGAUAUUUCUGUAUGAUGCACAUGAAGAUAAUUAGAUUAAAAUUUAGGUGUUUACUUUAGGUUAUUUUUAGUAACGACAUACGUGGGUAAUAUAGAUAAAAUUUUAGAAUGACAUUUUAAGUUAUGCUUUAUGAUGAUACGUAUUAGUAAAUUGGAUGAAUAUUAUAGGAUUACUUUAGAUUAUUUUUUAUAAUAGCUGAGCUCGAUAAUUUAGAUAUAGGUUUAGAGCUUAUUUUUGAAUAUUUUUACAAUGACAGUGGUGGGUAGCUUUUUAGAAAAUAUAAUAGAUCAAUGGCUAUGAUUAUUAGAGUUUACAGGAUUGGUGUUUGGUGUUUUUUAAUUUUUAUGAGAAUUUUUCUCUUUUUUUAAGCUUGUCUCGUGGGAACUAAUGCAGAGUCUCCAAUGGAAAAAAAUAAGACUACAUUGCUACAAAACUAUUACCAUAAGCUAACUCUCAUUUGUUAAAUAUUCAAAUACAAUACUUACGUAGAUAUAUACUUAAUAUCUUCAUCCAAUUGUGAUAGAUUUUAGUUAGUAAUUACUCUAUAAUAUUUUUAUCCAUAUUUAUAAUCUUUAACUUUUCACUUUGCAUCGCAGGUAUGCGCUUGAAUUUGUUUAAUGAACCCUAACUUUGAGAUAUAAUUUUAGCAUAGAAAUUUAUAUUCUCAUCACUUUAUAUCCUUAUAAAUGGUGACACACAUCAUACGUAAAGACCUUAAUUAUUAUAUCGUAUACCAAUAGUGUAAGAUAUAGACGAUUUAGAAUCAUAUAUUGUUAUAUACUUUUAAUUAAGGUUAUUUAAUUAAAACGUAGGGUUACCUCAUGUUAUUUUUAAUAAUGACAUGUAUGGGUAAUAUAGAUGCAAAUUUAAGGGGUUACUUUAGGUAAUAGUGGUAGGCAAUUCAGUUGCAAAUUAGGGGGUUAUUUUAAAUAUUGUUUAUAAUGGUAUAAGUGGGUAAUUUUUAUGAAGAUUAAGGGGUUACUUUAGUUUAUUUUAUAUAAUGGCAGAGGUGGGUAAUUUAUAUAUAGAUUUAGGGUUACUUUAGGCUAUUUUCAUAAUGGCAUAGGUGGGUAAUUUUUUUAAAAAUAUAAUAGAUCCAAUGGCUAUGAUGAUUUGAAUCUAUCAAUUGAUGGUCAGAUGUUUUGCUUUUUUGUGAGAAUUUCUAGAAUUUCUCUAUUUUUCUAGAGUGUCCACCUAGGAAUCAUUUUUAGGUGGCUUCACCUGGAGGCUUCAAAAGGAGCCUCCAAUUAGUAAUAGUAAGAUACUUAUAUUAUAUUUAGGGGGCCAAAGAAGUGCGCUUAGAACAACACGUCCCUCGUUCUUGCCCACCUUUUCAAUAUUUGAAGUGCGCUUAGAACAACACGUCCCUCUUUCUUGCCCACCUUUACACGACUUCUCAAUAUUUGAAGAAAAAACAGUUAGAAUAGACUUGUAGUUCCAUGAUAGAUGCUAUAACGGUACCAUGCUCAUCCUCUUCGACCUUCCUACACAGGCCCACUUUGGCAGGCCUCCAGCUCCUUCUAAAAUGGGAUGGAACCAAGGAUCCACUUUCUCUUGGCUCCGAUUUCUCAAUAUAAACGGCUCCGGCUCCUCUAUUACUCUAGGUGUGGAGCUAUUUUUUGGCAACCCUGUUUUGUAGGACUGCAGCACGAGCCAAAGGAGAAGUCGGAGCACUACCAAAGAGGCUCACAGUUGAGAGCCGAAGACAGACAAAUGAGCAGUAAGCAGUUUCUGCAACAAAGUUGUGGAGCCUGACAUAUAUGCAUUAUACGCAAAUCCAAACUGAAAUGAUAUUUGAACUGCAUAUUCUACUAUAGUAAAAUAGUUAAAGUCGGAAAAUUUGGUGUACCCGCAUCUUUCAUAUCUCCAUCAUCAGCACCUGGUUGUGGAAAGUCGGAAAGGAAAAUAAGACAAGGGACAAAAAUCUAAGUUUAAAGUAAGCCACUACAUUCUUCAUAUCUUCAACUUGAAGAGCACAUAAUUAAUGAUCGCUAAUCGCCAUUUGCAUCCCACGCUAUGAAUAUGGAAUUGCAAUCCUAAAGGCUCGCAAGCCGCCUCAUCUCAGAAACAUGCUUUCGCUAUAUUUAAAUACUACCAUCUUCUUCCUAGCGGAAUGAAUUUUAUGAUGGGAACCUGUCAAUUCGACAGCUCGGGAGAGCGAUUACUAGUCGGAAGGAGCAAUGAAAAACUGAAUUUAAGCCCACCAACGUGUCAUUCGCUGGACCAAACUAGAGGACGUUAGUGUUAUCUCCGCUCGUGCCGGUUGGGAUAGGACUUCGAGGCGACAGGCGAGGCGAUGGACAACAUGGACACGAUGUGCUGAUAGAACUCAAGCAGAUCAGACCGCGAAAUCCAAUAAUGCACGUAGAAACAAUCGCGGAAGAAGGAAUAGUCAAGUCUUCGGCGACUCGACGGUAGCGACGGGCCAUCUGCAGGCAUCCAGUAGGAAGCUGCAUCACUACAUUACACACAACAAGCAUCCAGUAAGAACGUGGAAGCUGCACAUCAUAUCCAGCCGCGAGAUCUUCACCUUCAGCUCAACGGGAGGAGUUCAAAUGAGGAGAUGCGCGUCGCGCUCCAGCGCCAUGGGAAGGGACACCGGCCGGCCCAACGUUAUAUCUGAAAUAUUAUCAAUUCAAGACGGAUGUAUUGGAAUUUCUAAGACUUGUUAGCACUAGUAAAGAAACAAGCAUUAGUCCUGAUUAGAAAACCUCAUAUAUCACGGUUUUUCGAACGGGACUAAUUAUUCGGGACUAAAGCUCCCGACCUUUAAUAUUGGAUCUUUCACUUAGGGCUAAACGCAUAUCUUUAGUCCCGGUUGGUAAUACCAACAUGGACUAAAGAGUUUGCGCAAAAAAAUAUCUGUAAAAAGGAAACUGCUGAGAAACAUCCGCGUAUUCUUAAGCGGCGUUAUAUGUUUGUAGCUUGUACCAUCGGGCUUGGAGGUUGGGAAGCUCACAGCGAUGGGCCACGACAGGCCACCUCAGACGCAAGGAGCACGACACAAUUCUUCCGGUAGCCACACUAAUCACAGUCACGCAACGCAUUAAUAGUCCCCGGCAUGCUAGGGCAGUCCCAACAUAUAGUGUCUUCAGAUAGUGUCUAUACUUCCACGUAACUAAAAUAUCAUUUUAGAAAUUACACUCUACAACCCGUGAUUUCAAAGAAUGUGUCUUUAAUGAAUUCAUCAUCUCUCCUCUCAACCAAUCAUAUUUAUUCCUCAUCAAUUAUGAAGAUACCAUGUUCUCCCAAUACAAUAUUCGCCAAUAUCUCAUGCAUAGGUUAUUGUAUUGACACUGGUCUUGCAUGAGAUCCAAUUUUUUGCUCUUCCCAUUCUCUCUCAUUUAAUGUAGUGCCACGUAAACUAAAAGUCCUAUGUAACAAAAUAAUUAAUGUUAUGAAAACCAUUCUAGUUGCAGGGUUGGGACAGCCGUUAGUUAAAGAAAGGCAACGGACACCGAAGAAGCUUUGGUGGAAAGUAUUCGAGUCUUCGCGGACUGGACGCUAGCGCAGGGUCACCACCAAUGACGUCAGCCCAAUAUUACUGCAUUGCAAGGAAGGCCAUAAUGCAAUAUAUAGUUCAUCAUCAUCAGCUAUCACUAUUAGAAACUAAUACAAUGUACUAGGGCAAAAAAAAAAUUGCCAAUAUACUAGGGUGAAAAAAAUAGACGGCAAAAGCCGUUAAACUGUGCCAUACACAUCAUUCCAUCUAACAAUUUUUCCACAUAUAUAUUUAUAUUUAGGGGCCCAAAAAAGUGUGCUUAGAACAACACGCCCCUCGUUCUUGCCCACCUUUUCUACUACAAGACUUCCAAAUAUUUUUAGGAAAAACAGUUAGCAUAGACUUGUAGUUCCAUGAUACAUGCUAUAACGGUACCAUGCUCAUUCUCUUGGAUCUUCCAACAUAGGCCCCCUUUAGCAGGCCUUCAGCUCCUUCUAAAAUGGGAAGUAGCCGGAGGAGUCACUUUUCCUUAGCUCCGAUUUCUCAAUACAAACCGCUCCGGCUCCUCUAUUGCUCCAGGUGUGGAGAUAUUUUUGGCAUCCCCAUUUUUUAGGGCUUCAUCACGAGCCAUAGGAGAAGCCAGAGCACCAACAAGGGGCUCACAGUUUAGUUUAGAGCUGAAGACACACCAAUGAGCAGAAAGCAGACAUGGUAGUUUCUGCAACAAAGUUGUGGAGCCUGACAUAUAUGCAUUAUACGAAAAACCAAACUGAGAUGAUAUUUGAACUGUAUAUUCUACUAUAGUAAAAUAGUUAAAGUUGGAAAAUUUGGCGCACGCGCAUCUUUCAUGUCUCCAUCAUCAGCACCUGGUUGUGGAAAGUUGAAAAGGAAAAUAAGACAAGGGACACUACUGGAGAACUAACCUUCUAUCCAAGUGCUUUUGUCCCGGUUAACUUUGGUCCCGGGUCAAAAAUGUGCUGUUGAAGGACACCGCCCAGGGGGGGCGUGGGGGGCGCUUGCAACGACUAUAAAAAAUCGUACCGAUACUCCCCCUUUUGUCCCAUUUGGAAAUUCCAACCGGGACAAAAGAGCCCCGCUCCACUUUUAUCCCGGUUGGUAAUUCCAACCGGGACAAAGGUAUAGUCCCGGUUGGAAUUUCCAACCGGGACAAUAGGGGGGUCAUGCUGCUCAAAUUUUUUCCUCUUUUCUGUGGGGAUUUAGUCAUUGUUGUGAAGGUUAGCUACUUCAUCUUGAAUUUAUUAUUAUUAUACUUUAUUUUAUGCUUUAGAGAGGGAGCAAAAUGAGUUUUAUAGAAUCAGGGAGAAUGGAGAGGAUUUUUAUUUAUACAUAUUUUUGAGAUAGAAUUUGAUGGAUAGCUUGCUUUUUAUAUAUGAUUCGUAUUAGUUAAAAGAACUUGAUCAAUAUUAGGUGUUGCAAAAAAAUAGAGUAAAUGUGUUUUUAAUAUUUAGUCAUUGCAAUAAAAUUAAGGUAAAUAAAUUGUAGGUGUAUGAAAUUGAAUUUGAUCAUUGCUACAAUUUUUCAUGUCACUGUAAUUUAAUAAUAAUUGAAUUUCUUCGACUAGUAUUUAUCUCAUGUUUAAGGCAAGAACUAAAUAGUAUAAACACACUUACUUUAUUUUUUCCCUGCCUAAUAUUGAUCAAGUUCUUAAUGUAAUAUGAAGCCCUAUGUUCAUUUUCCACGUAAUACGAUGCAGAUGGACCGGCAUUGGUUGUACCACCUCUGUUCCUCUAAUCCUAGAGAACAGUGUUUGCACAUGGCAGAAUGUGCUUACACUAUUCCCUGCACAUAACCUAACUUCCUACAAAGUCUAUGGAAAGUCACCUUCACUCCUCCAGUACUAGAAAAUAAUGGUGCAAUAGAAGAACUUCUAGUCCACAAACUCGUGCUAAAUAUGAGUAAUGAAUUUUGAAAUAGUAUUCCAAAUAUUUUUUGGAGCCUAAUUCUUAUAAUAGAAGUAUGCUGGCCCAAUAUCCUCUUCAGGCAAAGAUCUGUUCACUGACCUUGACCUAGCGGCUUUUGCUUGGUUUUGGCUUACCACCAUGGGCCAUGCUUAGCGAACACAUAUUUUGCCUGGACAUGCUAUUAUGUGUGUGCCACUAUAUAUACUUCUAUUAUGAGAAUGUAGCACUUGCUACAACAGAUAUUUGGACAAUUAUUUCAAGAUUCCUUUAUGAUAUUCAGCCUAAGUAUGUGAACUCAAAGAUCUUCUGUUGUACCGAUGCUUUGAAACAUACGAGAAUGAUUCCAAAUCAUAGUCCGGUUUUGUGUUCUGCCUCAAUGGAAGAGCAGUAAGCUAGAAAAGUUCUAAGCAAGAUAUAUUAGAUGAUUCAACGAUGAAGGUGGAGUAUAUUGCAGCUUCAGAAGCUGCAAAGGAAUCUAUUUGGAUCAGAAAAUUUGUUUCAGAGUUGGGUGUUGUCGCUAGUGUGUCAAGUCUAGUGGAUUUCUAUUGCGAUAAUAGUAGAGCCAUUGCACAAGCAAUGAAGCCUAUAUCACACCAAAAGUCCAAACAUAUGCUACAACGCUAUCACCUCAUCCGCAAGAUCAUUGAUCGAGGUGACGUGAGGAUUUGCAAGGUGCACACGGAUUUGAAUGUUGCUGAUCCGUUGAGGAAGCCUCUUCCACAACCAAACCAUGAGGCGCACACCAGAUCGAUGAGUAUUAGAUACUUACAUCAAUGAUCCUAGUGUAUGUGGAAGACUUGUGUCCUGACUAUGUUUAUGUACUAUUGAAUAAAGUAUUAUUUGUUACUUGAGUAACUAUCAUUUACACUGAUUACCAAGUAUGUGACUUGUUCGUGGAACUCUUCAUUGAUUAUCAUGUUAUUAUAAAUGAUCCCUAGUCUAUAUCAUUAUAUGGGACAAUAAUGACAUACAGACUAGCACAUGUAUUAAUUGAUGAUCAUCUUUCUUGGAUUAGAUUAACAAUAUUAACAUAUGUUAGUGAACAUGGUGUUGGAUUGACCCACCUCGAGACACUGCUAAGAUUGUUAUUUUAUAUGCAUCAUCAAGUAGAAAAUGAAACUUAUGCUGAUUAGAUAAAAGGUGCGAUAAAAUUAUGGUUAGUGCAUUCUCAACACCAUAUAAAGUUUACCAUGAAGUAAUCAAACUGAACAAAUUAGUUACUACUAUCUCAAUCUAAUAGCAAUCAUAUCAAUAUAUGUACCACUGCUUACACCAACCUGUGCAUCCGCAUGCUACCUAACACUGGACGACUCUGCAUUGAUUGCGGGGAUGGAGAAGGUCCGCGGAGCAAGUCGUGCUAUUAUCAGGGCCAGUUUGGUAGGGUUCCAGCUCCAGCUUCUCCUGCGACUCUAGCUGAAACCCUACCAAAUAGUUUGAUAAAAACGGCUCCACCCCUGAAGCACUAGAGGAGCCGGAGCCGUUUUAUAUGGAGAAGCCGGAGAAAAAAAAAUGACUCCUCUAACUCCAGCUCCUUUUAGAAGGUGAGCCCUACCAAACUAGCCCAAGUCAAGUCUUCCCCAAAUGCAUCCAACUGUGAUGACCACUCAGGCUGCCAUGAUUACCCAUUGCCGUUAACUUCCUAUCUACUUCCUCGAUCAGAACACCACCAAUGCCGUCGUCUCCAUCCGGCCACCGCCAUGGCCGUGGCCUGCUCCUCCUUGCCAUGGUGGCGAGCCUCUCUACCUUCGUAAUGUCCAUGGACAGCCGGUUCACGUUGGUCGACUGCCAAACAUCGGCGGCGCCAUCUCCUGCUCCCUCGCUGCCGCCGGCGUCCUCCUCCUCCACCACCACCACCAACAGCACGUUCUGGUCGAACGUCGUGGCGCUACUGGAAGCGCUACCGUCUGCCGCAGCGCCGACGGGCUUCGCCUCCCUGUCUCGCGGCAACGGCACCAACCGCGCCUUCGUCCGAGGCAUCUGCCGCGGCGACUCCGCCGGUGCCGAUUGCGCCAGGUACCUCCGGAGCGCCGGCGUGGGCAUCCGGAGCCGGUGCAACCAGAACAGCCGCCGCGCCGCCAUCUGGUACGACGACGGCUCCACCGUGACAUAUCCGGCGCCGAUGUUCUGCUUCGUCAGCUUUGCCGACACCAACACGUCCACGCCCUACGAGCGGAAGUACUGCAAUGAAAUGUAUAACACGGGGGUGGCCCGUGACAAGGUCGGCUUUUUUUUUAAUGGAAGUGACGAGAUUGCCUUCGAGAACACAUACUACACGCUCAUGACGCGGCUCGCCGCGCGCGUCGUCAACGGCUCCGGCGACACCCCGCCGUCCUCCUUGCCGGAGGCGCCGAAGUUCGCGACGGGGGAGGCCGUGUAUGACCCCGGCAUCCCCAACGGAACCAUGUACGGGCUGAUGCAGUGCAUGAGGGAUCUGACGGCGGCGGAGUGCCAAAAGUGCUUGCAGGACUCGGUGCCACGGCUGCCUAGCUGCUGCUUCGGUAACCUGGGUGGGGUGGUGCGUGGCUACAACUGCUACAUUCGCAUGGAGAUAUACACCUACUAUGAUCUCAAGCUUGAUCCACCGCCCCCUCCAGCGCAAGCUCCGUCCAACUUCAUCGGACAAAGUGCGGGUGAGCUUCUCAAUCACUACAUAUUUUCGUUCUUUUUUAGAUAUAUGAUGUCGUUUAGCAUGAGCUAAUUAGUUCAAUUUAACUAACGGGUUUAUAAAUAAUGUUCUAAAUGUCACAUAUUUGGAAACGGAAACAAGUUUACAUGUUGCAUUUUAAAUGGAUACAAUCUCUAUACUUCAAAUUUAGUAUAUUAAUUUAGAACAAUACUAGAUAUCCAUUGACAGAUUUAGAGUCGGCAACCCUAUCUUCUGAGACGAAGUUUGGGUUUUCGAUUCUAGGUUUAGAGAUGGGGAGAUUUAUGGCUGGAGGCAGAGCGGGGCAACCGCGAAAAAAAAAUCAUUGAACAAGAAAGAGGAUGCACGGAGAAGGAUGGCGAUUCAAGGCAGAUCCGUAGACAUCAGUAAUGAUGAAGGAAGAUUGUCUGCCCUUACUGGCAGGGAAACAUAACAGUAAUGAUGAAGGAAGAUUGUCUGCCCUUACUGGCAGGGAAACAUAACAGGCGGCGUCAUGGUGCUCAGGGUAGCCGAAUGGAUCAUGAUGUGCCCGCAAACACUAACGUAGCGAAGGGACAAAGUAUAGGCCGUUGGAUCUUAAUUCUAGGGUCCAAAAAAUGAUAGAUUAUUACUCCGUAAUCUUUUAACUGUUGUGUAGACAUAUCAUAUAUUAUUCUGUUCGUUGACUGAAAGCAAUUAAAAUUUCGGUCACCUCUAUGCAAAUAUAACCAAUAAUGCAUCAACUCGGUCUGCAGCAGUGUCCCAUCGUGAAAGCACUGUAGGGCAGUACAGGGGGUGUACGACAAUUUGACGGCAAUCUAGAAGCAGACGUGACACGAGUACCAAAAAAAAAAAGACUAAAUUAAGGCCUUGUUUAGUUGGCCAAAUUGGGAGGUGCCAAAUUACUGUGCUGGCACUGUAGCACACUGUAGCGUUUCAUUUGUAUUUGUGAAUUAUUGUCCAAACAUUGACUAAUUAGGCUCAAAAGAUUCGUCUCGCAAAGUACAACAAAACUGUGCAAUUAGUUUUUAAUUUCAUCUACAUUUAGUACUCCAUGCAUGUACCGCAAGUUUGAUGUGAUGGGGAAUCUUCUUUUUGCAUAGUGCUAAAGUUGGGAGUUGGGGUUGAAGUAAACAAGGGCUAAAGCAAGCACGACCUGACCGACACUACAGUGGUAAUACCUCACUCAAAUGCAGGAAAAAAGGGCCUUGGUUCGACUCUCGCCGCGGCCCUCCCUAGUGGUGGAACGGUCCUUAUUGCACUCGUCAUCCUUGGUGUUUUCUUAUACACAAGAAAUGCCAAUUGGAAGAGAACGCAAGGUACGCGUACGCCUAAAACCUCAGUUGAUAUUUGUUUCUGGCUGUGUCCAUUUUACUAGGUGCAGCAGAGUUCAGUUACAGCAACCGAGCAGUCCCACAAUAUUCCAUCACUAAUAAGAUAGUAUUAGAACUGUCCUAAUAAUAUAAUUUUUAGGAUUAUUGAAGCAGGUUCCCAAUAUAAUCGUCUUUUUAACACUAUUUCGCUAUGUACUUGCACAUAAAAGUUACAAAUACGCUAUGUUCAUGUCCGAAUAAUUAGCGAUGUUUUUAUCACACACGAUUCGUCUAAGUUUCAAAUGCAGAAAUUCAAACAUAAAUAUGGUCCAAAUGCAUCAAAUAAAUAGUCCAAAGUAAAUAUGAAUAAAGGAAACAUAGAGCAUCACACACUACCAUGGAGCUGCCACAAAUGCUUAAUAAGGUUAUCAUGAAGUCAUUCAUGUGCCGCGGGAUCAAAAACACUCGGCGGAUCAAAAACACUCGGUAAAAAAAAACACACAACAAUCAACGGGUUCACCGAGUGUAUACAUAAAAACACUCGGCAAACAAGGGUUCGCCGAGUGUUUUUUCUCCCACACUCGGCGAACCCGUGUUCCCGCAACCGCACCGUCCCCCCGGCCCCACGCCCUGCCCCCCGCCACCCACACCGUCCCCCUCCCCCCACACGCCCCGGCCCUUCACCUCCCCCCCACAGCACACCCAGCACCACGCCCCUCCCCUCCCUCCCGCACUCACGCCCCUCCCGCACGCGAGCUGGGAGCCCCCUCGCCUCCCUCUCCUCCAGCGCGGGGGGCGCCGCCUCACCUCCCUCUCCUCUAGCGCGGGGGGCCACCCUCCCCUCUCUCUCCUCCUUUGGCGGCGCGAGUCCCCUCCCUCUCCUCCGGCGGGCGACGGCGCUUGCCCCGUCUCCCAGCCGGAUUUGGCCGCUGCCCCCUCUAUCCUGGCUGGAUCUGGCCGCCGCCCCCUCCAUCCCGACCGGAUCUGGCCGCCGCCCCUGCCUCCCGGCCUGAUCUGCCACGCCGCCCCUCCUCCGAGCCGGAUCCGGCGGAGGCCGUGGUGGGCGGGGGCGGGCGUGGCGGCCGGGUGGUGUGGUGGUGCUGUGGUGGUGCGGUGGUGGUGUUGUGGUGGUGGUGCUGGUGGCGUGGGUGGUGGUGGUGCGGCAGCCAUGGGUGGGUGACGGCGGCCGUGGGUGCGUGACGGCGGCCGUUUUUUUUAGUUUUUUCAAAAAAAGUACGCCGAGUGUUUUUUGGGCACUCGACAUCUUUUUGCCGGGUGCCCGACAAAAAACACUCGGCAAACUAGUGUUUGCCGACAUUUUUUUUGUCGUGUGCCCUUUGCCGAGUGUUACACUUGGCAAAGGGUUCGCCGAGUGUUUUAGGGGCUUCGCCGUGUGCCCUAGGCACACGGCAAACCUUCCGUUUCCGGUAGUGAUAGUUCCAUUGCACCAUGAGGGAUUUCCAAAUUCGGUCUUCAUCCUUCUAAGGCUUGACCAGCACCAGAUAUGUGCCCUUAGAUCAAAGCUAAACACAUUCUCAACCCAGCAUCUCCCUAACCGGUCGGAACGGGCCAUCAGCACCAGUGCUAUUUUGACCGGCAGAGCAUAAAAACUUUUAUGUGUAGUGCUAGCUGUACAUGCAGGCAUGGUCGGAUGGCCCCACAAAAUUUGCUGCUUGGUAUGGAGGGUUAUUUUUUCCAUGAGCUUUACUUAUUACAAAAAAAGGAGCUAACAUGAUUCUACUUAAUAAUAAUGCCAGUCUUUUGCAUACUAUUUUUGUGACAGACAACAGUAGCAAAGAAGAGGACAGCGGAUAUGUUGAGCCGGAGCAACUUAAUCUAGCGGUGUUAAGAGAUGCAACUGACAAUUUCUCGAAAGAAAACAAGCUUGGAGAGGGAGGUUUUGGAGAAGUGUUCAAGGUACAUUUUCAGCUAUAUGUAUAGGCACACAAAUGAGAAGUAGUAUAAUAUACUAGGUACAGUCAUCGUGACAGAACUAGUAUCGUGAAUUGCAGUGUAGUGGUCACGAAAAUUUAAGAAUAGGUAUUUUCUUUUGCGCAGGGUACAUUACAAGAUGGGGCAGAGAUAGCUGUGAAGAGGCUUUCACGGAACUCCUCACAGGGAUUCCAAGAGCUUAAGAACGAGCUUGUUCUGGCUGCCAAGCUUGAGCACAGGAACCUAGUGCGGCUCUUGGGUGUGUCCCUCCAAAAGGAGAAGCUUCUUGUCUACGAGUACAUGCCCAACAGAAGCCUAGAUACCUUUCUUCUCGGUAUCCAUCAAACAACUGUUCCUAAGCAAAUAAGAGAACUCACAUGGAUUAUCGUCUAUAUUUAUGUCCUUUUUUUGUAUGUUGUGCAGAUCCUGUGAGACGACACCAACUAGAUUGGAGUAAGAGGUUUACAAUCAUCUGCGGCAUCGCACGGGGACUUCUCUAUCUCCACGAGGAGUCUCGCCUGAAGGUCAUCCACAGAGAUCUAAAGCCGAGCAACGUAUUGCUUGAUGCGGAUAUGAACCCCAAAAUUUCAGACUUUGGCAUUGCCAGGGCUUUUGGCGGUGACCAAUCUAGAGAUAUAACAAGACGACCCGUUGGUACCCUGUAAGCACCCAGGGCUGAGCACUGCAUCAAUAAUAGUCAAUCCAUACCGUAGAUCAAUUAUUACCAGUGACUCCUGGUUGCACAUUGUGGAUGCAUGCAGUGGGUACAUGUCUCCAGAGUAUGCCUACUGGGGGCAUGUCUCGACCAAGUCAGACAUGUUCAGCUUCGGUGUCAUAGUCUUGGAGAUGGUGACCGGGCGAAGGAACAACAGCGCAUACGACUCUGCUGUAGACUCCGUGUCUGUGCUGAGCCAUGUAAGUGCGCACUAUUUCUUGGGUAAUAAUGUCCCAUCGCGGGUGGAAAAACGAUCUUCCAUCCUCAACAAAAAUCUCGGUGAUUUUUGAUUUGGGAAAAAUUUUAGUCCCAGGUCUAAAUUUCGUAGUACGUGGAGACACCUUUAGUCCCGAUCGAACUAUGGAUUUCCUCCCCUACUCAGUUAGAUGUGUUGUGUAGGUGAGAUGAUAAAAAACCUGUGGAGCCUUCUGAAAAUUUAGAAUAUUUUUUGGACCAAAUGAUUAGUUCCGGUUGGAAAAACUGAGAUCUAUGAGAUUUUCUAACCGGGACUGAUACUCCUUUCUCUACCGGUGCGCAUGUAACAUAUGCUUCACGUAAUGGACAUCGAUCGAUUGUGUGUACAGGUAUGGGACAACUGGAGGGCUGGUUUGAUGACGGAUGUGGUGGACCCAUUGCUGACCGAGUGGGGGUACCCGGAAAGCGAGGUCCUCAACUGCAUAGAGAUUGGGCUUCUAUGCGUCCAGGAGAACCCGGUGGACCGACCAGACGCCUCCGCGGUGGUGCUUAUGCUUAGCAGCCCUACCUCCAUGUCUGAUGACAGGCCAGCCCCAUCAAGGCCGGCCUUCGUCUUCAGCUGUGGCUUCACCACAGAAUCAGAUCGCCCAAGAUCCGGUGCCUGGAGCUCCGAUGGUGUGCUGCUAAUAGGCAAUAAUAAACAGCCGUCGACGACCACGGUUUCAGAGAACGAAGUGUCGAUCUCAGAGCUUCAACCGAGGUAGAUGUGUGUAGCACAGAGUGCGGAGCACAAGCUGCUAGCUGGGCGUGGUUCAGCCUAUGAUUAAUCUCGUGUGUCUUAAAGCAUUAUAUUGCAUAUGGUAAAGAAAAAUUCGGAAAACAGAAUAAGGUUUACGCCUGAGAGAUUCUUGCUGCCUAUUAAGGUGAUAUGAUCCAACUCAUUUGAUCGAAAAAGACUAUAUUGAUCAUGGUGGUCUCUGUUAAUUACCUCGUUACUAUUGUAUAGCACUGUUCGAACUGUUCCAUGUCGUUACUUGCAGCACACACACCAAUUUGAUUUCUUCAGGAAUCCUUUGAUUCUAAGAAGAGUCCAUAACAAGUUUCCGUCUUGGAUCAACAUUCUGAACUAGAAUACACCUUCAUCUAGCUAAGGACAUGUUUGUUUGAAAUUUUAGGCAGCUUUUCAGCGUGAAAAGAUAGAAGGUCAAACAAACAACCAACUUCUCGUUCAGAAAACUUAAGUUUAUAUGGAAAGCUGAAAAAUUCAGUUUUCUAAGCUUUAGAUAGCUUCACUAAUAGAGAAAUUGCCUCUAGUACCUGUCCGUAACCCCCUCUAAUACAGGUUGUGCAACCAGUAGUGGCAAUUCGGUACUAGAGGGGGGUCCUUUACCGGUUAUUUUAAUCGGACCCUUUAGUACCGGUAGCGGAUACCAACCGGUAGUAAAGGGCCUGCCACACUAUGUGUGGGAGCGGCCUACUUAGUACCCGUUGGUCUCCCUAACCGAUACUAAUUUGUUAUUUCCUUUCUUUUCUUAUUUUCUAUUUCUUUAUUUUAUAUUUAUAUUCCGUAUUUGUUUUCAUUACCUAUACUAGUUCUAAUAUGCUAAUGUAUGUAAAGUUCUAUUUAUCUUUAAUAUUACCUUUGAGAUACUAUUAUAUAUAUAUAUAUACAUAUUAUGCAUACACAUAUCGUAUCUACUAUUCUGAACUCGACUCCUGACUGUGCUGUAGAUUUGAUCCGUCAUUAUGAAACUCCCCCACAGAAUUUACAAUCUCGUCCAGAAGAGAUCCACAUAGUUGUUCUUGUAUUGCCCUGAAAACUUUCGUGUCGAAGAGUUUAUCCUUCCUGUAUAUCAUCUAUGUCAUCAGCAAAGUUUAUUAUAUAUAUAGUAGACCAAUGGAUUUGCACAAUUGAAACUUUUUUGAAGUAUAAGCAAAUAAAUUGAAAUGCUUAAUCUAAUUUUUCUAAGUAUAUACAUAUGAAUUGCUUUUUGAAGUAUAAGCAUAUGAAUUGAAAUACUUAAUCUAAUUUUUCUAAGUAUAUACACAUGAAUUGCUUUUUGAAGUAUAGGCAAAUCAAUUGAAAUACUUAAUCUAAUUUUUCUAAGUAUAUACACAUGAAUUGGUUUUGAAGUAUAGGCAAAUCAAUUGAAAUACUUAAUCUAAUUUUUUAAGUAUAUACACAUGAAUUGGUUUUUGAAGUACAAGCAUAUGAAUUGAAAUAUUUAAUCUAAUUUUUUAAGUAUAUACACAUGAAUUGGUUUUGAAGUAAAGCAAAUGAAUUGAUUUUUGAAGUAUAUACACAUAAACUAAUUUAUUAUCGGGUAGUUCAUGGUCGGUUAAACGGUUCGGAAGCAUAAAGGCGUGGAUGAACUCAUGUACGUAGUAUCUGCAUAAAUUAGUACCCAGCUCCUAUCUCGAAGACUAUAUAUAUAAAAAAAAGUUAUAAAAUAUUUGUUGUGUUAAAUGAAGUGUCACGAGAUGUGAAAAUUCAACACAUAUCGGGAAUUCAAUCUUCCAUUCAAGUUCCUCCUUGAAUUCAGAAAAUCUAGAUAAUUUAUUUAAACCAUGAAAAAUACUUUGAAAAUCCCAAAAAUCCAUGAAAAUUCCUAGAGACAAUUUGGGACAUGAGGAAUCCAAAGAAAAUAUUUGGAGCUCAUGAAAAGUAUUAUAGAACAAUCCAAAAAUUGGAUUUAGCACUUAGAAAAUGAGAAUAAAUUCCAGAAAAAAACUGGAAAAUUCUUAGAAGGACUUGGACACGUAUAAACACAUUUUUAAACUUUUUCACUCAUGAAACACCAAGAUGCAUCGGCAUGAGUGCACAGACAUGGAACAACAUUAUUUAAUUCUGAAAAGCAAACAAUUAUUUUUCCUAUACUAAAUUUCUUGUGAAGAAAGAUAAAUGUUGGGAAAAUUUUUAAAAUUAUGAGAAAAUUAUUGUUUAAUUAUUAUUUGUCAAUCAUAUCCUGAAAUUCAAAAAUUUCUGGAUAUGUCGUCACAUCAUCAUCAUCAACAUGUGUUGACGUGGCUGCAGCAUCAUCAGCGCUAAUGUAACCAUCAUCAGCGCUAAUGUAACCAUCAUCCGUAGCAAUAUAUACCCGUUGGCUGGGGGCAAUCCUUCGUGACAUGGCCAAAUCCAUGGCAGCAACCCGAGAAAUUAAACAUCAAAUCUGACUUUGUUUUGCACAUUCUCGCACGAGUAUCCAAAGUUCCAAACAGGUUUACGCAUUUCGUUCCAGUGAGAUUUUGAAGAAAUCCUAACUCAUCAACUACUAAAUGAUGGUGUUCAUGACUUGCCCACCCAUCUAACGUGGAUGAUAUGUGACCGUGUAGUAUAAUCUAUAGUGUAAUUGUACCUACAUUCCUUAUUAUGCCACCAGACACCACCGAGGAGGUUUAUUUAUUUAUUAAUAUAGAGGUAGGGAUGCAUGUUCAAUUUGUUUUGGUCCAUUGGAUUGACCUAAAUUUUGCUAAAAUGGACUACAAUGGCAAUGUCACUUAAUUAAUUUAUAGGAGAGAGAAAUAAAUAAAAAUGUCAUGUUAACGUAAUUAAUUAGCUCAACUAGAAAAUACAUUGGGUAACCACUUGCAUCCUUAUAUAUGGAGGAGAGGAACCUCCCUCUACAUUACCUAGAAAAAAGAAAGAACAUAUCACUACUAGAGAACUGGGUAUUACUACCGGUUCGUAGGGUGCAUAUCUCCCAAAAAUGCAUCCGGCAUUAACCCGUCGAUACAAACCGGGACUAACGGGGCUGCCAUGACAGACCCCUUUAGUCUGGGACUAAAUGUCUCCUCUUUAGUCCCGGUUUGUAAAACAAACCAGAACGAAAGUGCGUGUAUACAGUGCCAUGCACGCGCCUAUAUAUAUUUGAAUUCCAGCCAGAGGCAUUUCUCGCCUUCGGCGUAUAAAUCUAUUUGUUUUACCUUAAGGGCGAACAUGGAAGUCUAGUCGGCGGACGUCUUCAUGUACCAUUCAUGGAAUUCGUACAUCUUCGGUUGAAAUGGCUUUGAAGCUGCUGGCUCGUGACCACCUAGCUCUAUAGAUUGAUCAAGUUCCACUCCAAAUUCUUCCAUGAAUUGCAAUACUUGAUCUUGUUGAGACUUGGGCAUUGCUGCUAUCCUUCUAGCAUCUCCUUCUGGUAGAUGAUGAAGGCGGCGAUCAACAACACUUGAAGAUGACUUUCCUUUUCUUUUUUCCCUAUAUUCAUCACCUUCUUAUUUGAAUGUGACAUCUUUUAAAAAAAUUGUAAUUUAGUUGGAUCAAUUGUUGGUUGUGGCUCCAUCUCCCUUGCUUUUUUUGUUCAGCCCUUUUCCUGAACAAAUCCUUGCAUUCUGCUUGGAUUUCGGACCAGCUUUCCUCUUGAGUCAUUGCAUUACAGCGUUCCUUAGGAGUCAAUUCAGGCUCCUUAUUUGUUUUCCUCUUUUUAUGUGCUAACUUGGGAGCCGUUGGUCGCAACUUCAUAAUCGGGUCUCCAGCAGGUUCGUUUCUCGGGGCUGCAGGUACCUUGCUCGGGACUUCUCUUAUUCCCGACAUCGUCGGUGAGCAGGAAGGAGUGCUGUUGUUGUCGUCGUUGUUGCUAGCUGGAUGUGGAGAUGGAGACUUUGCUCGAGCAUGCAUCGACGACGGUCCUGGUGCUGAAGGUCCUGGUGGUGAUGGUCCAGGUGAUGAUGGUCUUGGAAUUGACCGUGGUGGAGAAGUCGGUCUUGCCAUUUGAGAUGAUGGUUGCGGCUCGGGUUCUUUUGGGAAGGGUGCUGCCUCCAUGCCCGGGAUGAUGAUGUAGCAUUUGCACUAGAAUGACGCCUCCUUGAACCGCAUCUCCUAAUGUCCUUUCCCCAACGCCUCCCGGGAGUUGGAGCUCAUAGCCCUCAUAUUGCCGAUGAACGAGCUGCUCUACCGAGACACUAGCAUAGCCUGGUGGAAUCUCCAUGCCAUGGCUCGCCUGCGUUGCCCAGCUUGGUAAGGCACUCUUGUACGCUACCUAUACAUAUAGCAGAAAUAAAGAUGUUGAGGCAUGGUGGAUCGAUGGAUUGAGAAGAUUAUUGCAUAAAUAUUAAUUAUGUAUAAGAGUAUACCUUAACAGUCAGGUUGCCGACCGGUACAUGCAACUCAUAGGAGGUGCGUUGCCUGAUGAAAUCAACAGCGAACUGUUGCUGGUCCUGUGGAUCGGGCUGUGCUUCUGUUAGUGAAAGGGCCACUCGACGAUUGACUUCGUCAUGCAUUCUUUGUUCCAUAGAUUGCACUUGAGAUUCUAGGUUGCGCCACCAGCUCUGCUCAGCCCGAUCCGUUCUUCGCUCUUGGCUUCUGUACGAGUCUCUGUCGUCUUUGAAACCGUACUUCCACGGAACGAUCCCGAACCUGCGGACACGUCCUGGGUGCUUAGGAUUCCCGAGAGCCAAUGUGAGCUCAUCCAUUUCUCGAUCCACCACCAACCUCCCAGCCUUAACAUCUUCAAUGUUCUUGGCGAGCUGUUCGCCCUUGAGACGUAUUUCCUCAGUUAAGAUCAACAUCCCAUCCUCUGUGUUCAGUUUUCCUCCAUGAGCGAAAAACCAAUUUUUAGCUCGUUUGCUCCAUUCAUGAGUUGCUGGUACAAUACCCCGUUCGAGCAGGUCUUGUUCCAUCUUCUGAAAUUUGGGCAUUGCUAUUUUGUAACCACCUUGCCCUAGCUUAUGGUGCUCUUUCUUACAACUAGCAUUGUCAACGUUGAUGUUGAGUUUUUGCUGAUCGUCGUGGCUCCUCUUGUACUGGACAAAUGCCUCCUAGUGGCCGCUCAACUUUGGAAAUUCGUUGAAAUCUGAGUUUUGUCCUCCUUAAUGUACUUUGAAACUAGAAAUUUCUUGAAUGUUUGAAAUUGUGUGGCCGUCUUCUUCAGUGCCCAUGCUUUCACAUCCUUUUCAAUAUAUCCGGCGGGAAAUAUGAAAUGUUGCUUGACCUGUUCCCACAACAUAUCCUUUUCUGUUUGCGGCAGCGCGUCUGGAUCAUUGCCUUUUCCUCUCCAUUUCUUGAAGCUGAUGGGCAUAUUGUCCCUUACAACAGCCCCGAGCUGAGUUUGGUUCGUUUCCGUCGCUAGCCUGGCUCGCAUCGAAGGGAGCAACCGGCCUGCCAUCUUCUAAGGGCGCGUUUGGUUCGUUUCCGUCGCUAGCCUGGCUCGCAUCUGGUAUGCAGGCUAAGCUGGGCCAGGCUGAUUGCAUGCAGGUGAUCAUUGUUUGGUUACCAGGAUGAAAGUAGACAGGAUGAGCAGAGCACAUGUUUGGUUGCAUGUAUGAGCUAAGAACUGGCGAAUAGAGAAGAAAAAGCAGUUGUUUGGUUGGCUGCAUGUACCAGAGUUUGAAUACCAGAAUGUUGAAAUUGGUAAGGUUACCACAAGUCAGUUUUUAGGCCAGGUACUCAUACAACACGUUCAUACCAAUGGAGGUCAUACCAUAACUCAAUAUUACAACAAAGGAUUAUACAAGCUUGUACAAUAAAACUAGGAUAAUAAUGAACUGAACAAUGAUAAUGAUAUCUUUGGUUGGUGUGCUUGUUUUAUUCAGUUCUUUGUCGGCCUUGAACUGAGGAGGGGCUUGAUAUACAUGUUGGUUGUGACAGGCAGCCCAAGCUUGUUCUUCAGUGUUGUACCCUUUGAAACAGGCUCCCUUGAAGCCAUUGACUUGUUGAUGGCAAUCCCUCCAGGUGGAGAAGAUGCCAGUUUUGUGGCCAUAGAACACAACAUACCAAGUCAUAAUUGAAGUCCUAGAUUAGUUACACUGCAGCAAUACAAUGUGAGUUGUAAAAAAAUUAAUCAAGGAACAAUGCAAACAAAUGUUUGUGUGCUCAGAUCAUGCAGAAAUAAAUAAGGACAUCAUAACAGGCAAUGGAGUUGUACUCAGAUGAAGCACAAAUGAAUAAGGAUAUCAUAAAGGAAAUGGAGUUGUACUCAGAUGAAGCACAAAUGAAUAAGGAUAUCAUAAAGGCAAUGAGUUGUGCUCAGAUCAUGCACAACUGAAAAAGGAUAUCAUAAAGGCAAUGAGUUGUGCUCAGAUCAUGCACAACUGAAAAAGGAUAUCAUAAAGGCAAUGAGUUGUGCUCAGAUCAUACACAAAUGAAUAAGGAUAUCAUAAAGGCAAUGAGUUGUGCUCAGAUCAUACACAAAUGAAUAAGGACAUCAUAAUAGGCAAUGAGUUGUGCUCAGUUCAUACAUAACUGAAUAAGGACCUCAUAAAGGCAAUGAGUUGUGCUCAGAUCAUGCACAAAUGAAUAAGGACCUCAUAAAGGCAAUGGAUGUGUACUUCAGAUCAUGCAUGAAUGAAUAAGGUAAGAAAUAGGCAAUGUAACAGACUGAAUGAACAGAAGGUAAUGGAUGAUAGACAGAUGAAAUAAAUGCCAUAUGAAUAACUGCAACCAUGACCAAGUGUCCAUGACAUCAUAGGCAAUGUAACUGACUGAUCGAAUACAUCACAGAGGUAAUGUCCAUAGCGUACUGGCACCUUAACCCCCAACUACAGUCUCUACCUCUCUCAGACCACAACCUAACCAUACUUACCAGCCACAACCUAAGCGUGCUGUCUCAAACCAAAAGAAAUGGAGCAAAGUGUUUGAAGCUCCAGUCAGUCUAUCCUACACAAAAGAAGUCACUAUGCAAAAGAUAGAUCAGUCAGGAAGCAUGUAGAGGGAUCUACAUGUAGGAAUUCUUGGCAAGCCAUGUCCUUAGCCAAAGGAUGCGGUGGUUCUCAGCCAUGUUGACAAAGGCAUCACCCUGGGCCUUGUUGUCAACCAGAUGGGAGAAAGCACAGAUCAGAGCCUCCUCACUGAACCCUGGCAUGUACAUCACUGCACUGUACAGAUCAGGGUUCAACACCUCAACCUUGGUCUCACGGAUAGCAGAAGCAACAUCCCUCACUGCCUCAGUCAUACUGCUCAUCACCAGAUGGUCCUCCUCAGUGAGGACAGACCUCUUCCUCUUCUUGCUAGGACCAGAACCACUACUGACCUCUAUUAUAUCCUUGGGUGCUUCUCCAAAGACCUUAGCAACAUCAUCAAUGCACUUGGCUGCCUUGUCCUCAUCAUAUGGUUCAGUCUUCAUUGAGGUAUCUGUAAAGUCAGAUGGGCUACCUAGAGCCUCAUUAGAACCCAUAGCAUACUUGCCAGUGGCCAACCCAUUGCCAAAAAUGAUCAUCAUCUCCUUGUAGUUCUCAAUGUGUUUGUUCAGAAAUUCAGCAUCCUUAGGGUGUGCCUAAUUGUAGUGUGUAUGAUUAGUUAGAAAUGUUAGAAAUAAAACUAAAGGAUCAGGAUAAGAACAAGGUAAGGAAGAUCUAGGCAUCCCACACACCUUGAUGUGUCCCUUAUAGUGCUCCUCAUCAAGGCUGAUCCUGCAAUUCUCCUCAAUCCAGAGGGCACCACUUAGUUCCCUAAGCUUGGACACCCUCAUCCAUCUCUGUCUCCACUUCCUCAAGUGGUUAUACACUUGAGUACCAGACACUUCAUUGCCACUAAACUCCUGCAGGUACUUGGCAACUUGGUUCAGGUGGACCUCCUUGAAGCCCUUGUCUGUUCUAACACCACUCUCAAUCAGCUGGCACAUACGGCGCAGGAUAAAGGAAGACAUGGCACUAGUCCAGCGCAUAGCACCCUUAGGGCGCUGCUCUGCACCAGCCCCAGCAACAUGGACAACCUCAUCAGCCACUGCCAAAUCAAUCACCCCAACCUCCUCAGCCAUCCCUAAUGAAAUGCAUGCUUAACAUCAUUGCACAAACCCGUUGCCAUAUGAUCAGGAAAAAUAGAAUGUAAUUGAUGCAUGCUUAACAUCAUUGCACAAACCCAUUGCCAUAUGAUCAGGAAAAAUAGAAUGUAAUUGAUGCAUGCUUAACAUCAUUGCACAAAGGAAGUCAUUGCCAUAUGAUCAGACAAAAUAGAAUGUAAUUGAUGCAUGCUUAACAUCAUUGCACAAACUCAUUGCCAUAUGAUCAGACAAAAUAGAAUGUAACUGAUGCAUGUUCAACAUCAUUGCACAUGUACUUAACCUCAAGGAAGGUAAAAGAAAUAUAGGAACAAAUAAUCAUUGCACAUGUACUUAGCCUCAGUGAAGGUAACAUAACAACAGUGGAAUAAAUAAUCAUUGCACAUGUACUUAGCCUCAGUGAAGGUAAAAGAAAUAGAGGAUGAAAUGAUCAUUGCACAUGUCCAUAGCCUCAGUCUAGUUGUUCAUACAACAUAUUAUUACAUCAUCAUUGCACAAGUGCAUUGGCUCAGCUAACAGAACAACAGUUGAUCAUUGCACACAAACAGCAAGCUCUACACAUGAGAGGUGCCCCUAUUGUUCCACAUAUCAUUUGCAAUUUCAUUCCUUCUUGUACCCCAAUCUAAAUUGUCAUCUGUCUGAGAACCAUCAGCAGGUGCAGUACUACUACAAUUAGGUUCCCAUGUUGCUUCAUCAGGAAUAACCUCAGCCUGACCAUGGCUAAUUAUCCAAUUAUGAAGAAUACAACAUGCAAGAACUAAUUUGACUUGUGUCUUGAAUGGGUGGUAGGGCUUGUUGUCUAGAAUACGGAAUCGAUUCUUUAAAGCCCCAAAUGCCCUCUCAACUGUGACCCUUAGGCUUGAAUGCCUCAAGUGUAACAACUCUUUCUUAUUGGUAGGAUAAUUUCUUCCACCAUAUUCUUUCAAGUGGUAUCUAGUGGCUCGGUAAGGGGGCAUAAAUCCAGGACGACAUGCAUAGCCAGCGUCCACUAGGUAGAAUUUACCUAAACAAUUAAUUAGGUAGCCAAGAAUCAGUUGUAGUGGUUAUGUGAAAUCCCAAUUUGUGGUUUGUCUAAAAUUUUCUGUUACAAGUACCUGGAGGAACCCUUAACCCAUCAUCCCUCUCUAGAGCAUCAGCUAGAAUGAGUGCAUCAUGUGCAGAUCCCUCCCAUCCAGCUAGCACAUAAGUGAACCUUAGAUCAAAGUCAACUGCAGCAAGCACAUUUUAAGUAGGAUAGUGCUUCCUACCUAAAUGCUGCAAAUAUCUUUGCUGGUACUCUAGCAUGAACAUGAGUACCAUCUAUUGCACCAAUACAGUCCUACAUUAUAGCAAGACUUGUGAUUAAAGUUUGGUCAGGACUGCAGUUAGGUACAGGUAAACCUUACAUUCAUUUAAUUACCUUAAAAUAAGGAUACCACCUUGGGCUUGUUCUGAUUUUAAGUGUUGUCUCAGUUGAUGGUGGCCUUAUCAUCUCUCCCCUCAGCUCACCAAUAGCAUACAAGACCUCUCUAAAAUACCUACUUACUGUUUCCAUGGAUCUCCUAAAUGUUUGGUGGAUUACUCUAAAUCUCUGGUUGUGUCCCACAACAUGGAAAAACAUUGCUACUUGUUCCUCCACAGUACUGUUUAUUGUGUCCCUUAGCAAGUUUCUAUCCCUAAGCAGGUUAACAGGUUGAAAAAGGGAGCUCUACGCAUACGCAACAUGUUCACACAUUCUAUGUCAUUACAAUUAAAAAUUUUGUUCAGGUUGGCUUGGCGUUCCUCAUCCAUAGCACUCAUUGGGGCAUAUGUAAUCCGAGUCUGUGAAUUAUAGGCCACCCUGAGCCUACUCAUGAAGUAUGCAUAGAUGACAGACACAAAAGCAGCAACUUUUAUCACAAGCAUGCGUCUCUGGUCGACAGGGUUCAUCUAUUACACAAUGCAAAGCAUGUCUCAGCAAAACAACAAAUCAUUUUGAGCAUUCAACAAGUGGGUCAGGAAAAAAACUGCAUCAUCGCCUAAUGCACAAGUGCUCACAUAUAGGUAAAUCAGUGUAAUAAGAAUGCAUCAUUGGCUAAGGACAUGUGCUCAGUUUUCAUAUUUAUAAAGUAAUAUCAUCGGCCAAGAACAUGUGCUCACUGUUGAAAGUAAAUAAGCAUUCAUCAUCGGCUAAGAACAUGUGCUCACUGUUGAAAGUAAAUAAGCAUUCAUCAUCGGCUAAGAACAUGUGCUCAGUUUCCAGAGUAAGUAAGCAACCAUCAUCGGCUAAUGACAAAGGCUCACUGGAAAAAUCGUUACCGCUAGCUCCUUCAGGAAAAAGUCGGAGGGCUUUCAAGAGUUCAACGGGUAAGGCAAGAUAAAGGUAGAUCUGCACAUGAGAGAGAGGGAUUAGUAUCACAACAUGCAAGAUCCAAAUCGGGAGAAACAAGAACAGAUCAAAACCCUAAAAGAAAAAACUUGCCUUUUUACCUCCAACGAAAUCACCAGCACAGAUCCGACCCUACAAAUGCUCAAAACAUUAGGACCCCAAAAAAACCGAUGGAGAAAGGGAGCAAUACCAGAUCUGCGAGGGAUUACAAGUUACCUACUCUCUUUGCCACGAAACCCCGACGAAUCGAACCUCAAACCUGCGGAAUAUGAAGAGAGAGAGAAGCGAAAGGUCAACCAUCGAUUGAAUCGAGCCUCAAACACCACGGAUCUGGAGCACAAGGAAGAGAAGAUGUAUCACCUGCUACCACCACUCAGAUCUGGACGAGCAGGAAGAGGAGGACACGAGGAAGCGGGAGAGCUCAGAGCGGAGAGGCAGAGGGCAAGUGCGAGGGAGAGAAUGGGGAGAGGGGCGGCGGUGGUGAAGAUAUAGCGGGGAUGGAUGGCGCGAAAGGGGCGGCGGUAACCCUAGCUUCCCGUGCACGCCCCCGCAUCUCCCGCCUGCAUCUGAGGAGCCAUUUUUUCUGGGCACCGAGGGCGCGCUCGCGUCCCGCACGAGCCAGGCCGCCAAGAAACGGAAUCCAUUUUUUGUUUCCUGGCAGCCAGGCUCGGGGGGCUGUCUUGCACGCUGAGGGCCAGGCUCAGGUACAAAUACAGGCAUCCAAUCACUUCGACGUUGUAUCCCGAGGGCCAGGCCGAGGCAUAUACGGGGAAGCAAACGCGCCCUAACACUUCUGUGAUCUCUAGCUUUUGCAAUCCAUCCAUCACCAUGCUUCGACCUCGUGUCUUCUUAGGGUUCGCCGAUCCAGACGGCUAACAAUUCAAGAUUCGUUAAUUAGUACAUACUAACAACGAAAAAGACAUUCUAUGGGGUACAACAUUAUUAAUGACAUAUACCACGGCGGUAUCUUCUGCCGCGGCAAGGUUUUGCUCGGGCUCUUCAUUGCCAUCGGCGGAUAUGUUGAGGUACGUGUCCACCUGGUUUUUCUCUUCUUCGGUGUACGUUACGUUAUGAUCUCUACCAGCAAUAAUGUCCUCCAGCAUGCACCUUGCAUUCUUGUCAUCCGCCAUCUCAACUACUCCAAACACACAUGAAAUCAUAAUUACAUGUACGUUAAGGUAUAUAAAUAAAAUCAUAGAAAUGUACACAUGAAACCGUAGACGAAAUUAAAAUUACAUGAAAACUUCUUAAAAAUACACAAAAAAGCUUGAAUGAAACUUAAUUACAUGAAAUGUCUUAAUGUAUUACAAGUUAAUGUACAUACAUGAACUCAUAGAAGAACAACGUGAAACCAUACUAAUUUUUACUAAUUUCUACUGAAUUCUAUCAAAAUUGAAGCGUAAUUUAUUUAUAGAGAUUUCUACUAAUUUAUUGGAAUUUUUUAAAAUUUGUACUAAUUAGUACAAUUUCUAAAAAUUUCUACGAAAUUUAAUAACUAGAAAAUUUUAUAACUACCAAAUUCUAACUUCCUAUACAAUUUUACCGAUCCAAAAUUUUCUAUUAAUUUUAUAACUAGAAACAAAUAAAUAUAAAAGGCUUGCAUCACUGCCAAAUUUAUUCUAACUUCCUAUACAAUUUUACCAAUCCAAAAUUUUCUAUUAAAUUUAUAACUAGAAAAAAGUAAAUAAAAAAGGCUUGCAUCACUGCCUGCAUCCCUGCCAAAUUUAUUCUAACUUCCUAUACAAUUUUACUAAUCCAUAAUUUUCUAUUAGUUAUAUAACUAGAAAAAAGUAAAAAAAAGGCUUGCAUCACUGCCUUGCAUCAUCACUGCCAAAUGUAUUAACUAGCUAGAGCACCGGGUGCCGGGGUUUUACGCGCGCGGGCACGACUCGGGGUCGAUGACGCUCGAGGGUGGCCACGACAGCAAUGCGCGCGAGGCAGAUCCGGGCUCGAGGUGUAGACGGAGGACGGCGCGUGGACGGAAGAGUGAGGACGGGGCGCCGGACGACGGAUCGAGGAGGGAGGACGGGGCGCCGGAUGGAGGCCGAACGGAGGACGAGGAAGGACGGGUGCCGGACGGAGGAGGGGAGGAUGGGGUGCCAGACGGAGGAGGGAGGAUGGGGUACGUGGAUGGAGGAGUGAGGACGGGGCGCCGGACGGAGGAGGCCGCUCGCGGACGGAGACGAACGGCGGCACGGAUGGAGGUGGAGGACGACGGUGCAGACAGAGAGGAGGCGGCGAUGGGGAUGAAGACAACCAGCGGUGACGGGGACAAAGGCGGCAGUGUGACACCCGUGGAGCUGGCGACGGAGAUGAUACGGAGGCUAGAGAGGAGUUAAAUUUCACUAAGUUACCGGGUGCGGGGGGGAGUAGAAAUGCUAGUUACUUUUAUCCCCCCUACCAUUUAUCUUUGUUUGUAAGAAGAACCGAGAGAAAUGGACUUUUAAUCUCGUUCUUCUAACAAACCGAGAUAAACGGCCUUCCCUUUUAUCUCGGUUUUUAAGAAACCGAGAUAAAAGGCCUUCCCUUUUAUUCCGGUUUUGACGCACCCGGGAUAAAAGGACAACCCUUUAUCUGGGUUCGUAAGUAGAACCGGGAUAAAAGGUUACGUCCAGGCAGGAACUGAAAUUUACCCUUUUGUCCUGGUUCUAAUUACGAACCGAGAUAAAGGUCCUUACCAACUGGGAUAUAAUGUCCCUCUCCCAUUUCUCAUCUCCCUCUUCUUUUUUGAAAUAAAGUUUUUUUAUGUUUUCGCUAGAUUUCAUGCAGCAAAAAUUAAACUUUACAUAUUUCGAACAUGCAAAAAUAUAUUUAAUUAGCAAUUAUAUUUACAAUAAGUUUGAAUGGCACAUUAAUUCUACACUAGUUAUAUUGCCUUCUUAAAUAAUUAUUUUACUGCAUCACUAUCAUCAAGAAAUUAUCAAUUAAAUAAUUUAUAUGCACGAAAACAACUAAUUUAAGCACACAUGAAAUUGUAUCAAGUAGUACAUGAAAUUAAUCAUAAAUGUGAAGCAAAUUUAACGUAUUACAAUGUAACAUUAAAAACUUCUUCCUUACGAAUGUUCCUUGGUCAUGAUCACGACGCAAGAACGGAGCCUCUUCUUUGGAUAGCAGGAUGCUAGGGGUCAACUUCAACAGCGAAUGGAGGCAUGCCUGCAAACUGAGCAUAAUCAUCUGAUUGGUCUGUUUUGUCCUCGACUCCCACAAUUUUUCUUUUACUUGGAAGGACUAUGUGGCGCUUUGGCUCCCAUGGAUCUUCUAGAUUUCUCUUGGGUUUGCUAGAUAUGUCCUUAAAAUAGAAAACUUGAUGCACAUCAUUGGCGAGUACGAAUGGUUCAUCACUGUAUCCAGUCUUGUUAAGGUCCACUAUUGUCAUUCCAUACUGAUCUUUGGUUCCGCCAUUUAAAUUCACCCAUUGGCAACAAAACAGAGGGAUGCACAGCGGUCCGUAUUCGAUUUCCCAUAUCUCCUCUAUGAAACCAUAAUAAGAGUCCAUGCUACUAUUUAUGCCUAUGGCAUCUAUGCGGACACCACUAUUCUGGUUCGUGCUUUUCUGGUCUUGGGCUCUCGUGUAAAAUGUAUAACCAUUUAUCUUGUAGCCUUGGAAUUUCACGAUUAUGCUAGAAGGUCUCCUGGCUAACCAAGCAAGUUGUGGGUGAAUCCUAGAGUUACCCAUAAGUUGUUUGCGUAACCAGGAGGGAAAAGUUUCCACGUGGCUUCUUGUAAGCCAGGCAUCAGAUCUCGUCAGGUUUUCGGAAACUAACAUCUGCUUGUGCUACUCGAUAUACGGAGCCACAAAGGUUUACUACUGUAGAACAAUGUAGUGUGCCUUGUUGAACAAAUCAGCAUCAUUGCUCAAACAUACUUUCCUUCUAAGGGUGCCCAUUCCCCGCAUCCUCCCCUCGUGGCGUGAAGUUGGAACCCCAAUCGGGUCAAUUGAGUCAAUAAAAUCAAUACAAAACUCAAUCACCUCCUCUGUUCCAUAUCCCUUGGCGAUGCUUCCUUCUGGACGGGCACGAUUAAAAACAUAGUUUUUAAGACUGACAUGAACGUCUCCAAAGGCCACAUAUUGUGCAGAUAUAUUGGUCCGAGAAUAUUAAUCUCUUUUACUAGGUGAACCAGAAGGUGAGUCAUAAUAUUCAAGAAAGAUGGUAGAAAUACCAACUCAAAGCUAACAAGACAUUGCACCAUAUCAUUCUGUAGCUUUGUUAGCUUCGAUGGAUCGAUCACCUUCUGUGAAAUCGCAUUGAGAAACUGACAUAGUUUUACGAGCAGCAAUCGAACAUUCUCUGGUAGAACACGCCUCAGUACCACCGGAGGCAACUGGGUCAUCAACAUGUGGCAAUCAUGUGCCUUGAGAUUUGUGAACUUCUUUUCUUUCAUAUUUAUUAUUCUCUUUAUAUUCGAGGAGUACCCAUAUUGGACCUUUAGACUAUUCAAGCAUUCAAACAUGCUAUCCUUCUCUUCCUUGCUGAGAGCGUAACUAGCUGGACGUAAGUAGUGAUGUUCGUUAUCUCUCUUUUUUGGAUGUACGUCAUCCUGUUGCCCCUUUCUUUAAGGUCCCAUUAUGCUUCGAGUGUAUCUUUUGAAGGCCCAUAAACACCCAUGAUGCCUAGCACGUUCACACAAAGGUUAUUCGUCAGGUGCAUCACGUCUAUUGCGUUGUGGACAUCUAGGGUUUCCCAACAAGGUAGCUCCCAAAAUAUUGACUUCUUCUUCCAUAUCUCUGCACGUUCGUCAUCGUCGUUCGGAACAGGUUGGCUACCAAGACCUUUUCCAAAUACUACCCUUACAUCCUUUAUCAUCUCAAAGACACGUUUUCCAUUAUGAUGUAAAGGUUUUUUAUGAGUUUCUGGCGCCCCUUUGAAAUGCAUCCCGCUUUCUCCCAGCUGGUGGUGAGCAUGGAGAAAUCGAUGAUGACCCAUAUAGACUACCUUCUUACAGUGCUUCAAAUACAUGCUAUAUGUGUCCAAACACUACCCUUACAUCCUUUAUCAUCUUAAAGACAUGUUUUCCAUUACGAUGUGACGAUGUAAAGGUUUUCUACGAGUUUCUAGCGCCCCUUUGAAAUGCAUCCCGCUUUCUCGCAACUGGUGGUGAGCAUGGAGAAAUCGACGAUGACCCAUAUAGACUACCUUCUUAUAGUGCUUCUAUCUGUGUCGUCUAAGCAGUGGGUGCAGGCUCGAUAUCCCUUGUUUGUCUGUCCCGAAAGGUUACUUAGUGCAGGCCAAUCAUUGAUGGUCACGAACAACAGUGCUUGCAGGUUAAACAUCACUUGUUUAUCCUCAUCCCACACACGUACACCUUCUUCCUUCUAGAGCUGUAAAAGUUCAUCAACUAAUGGUCUUAGGUACACAUCAAUGUCGUUGCCGGAUUGCUUUGGGCCUUGGAUAAGCGCUGGCAUCAUAAUGAACUUCCGUUUCAUGCACAUCCAAGGAGUAAGGUUAAACAUGCAUAAGGUCACACGCCAAGUACUAUGACCACUACUCAACUCACCGAAUGGAUUGAAUCCAUCAGUACUUCGGGAAUGUUCCUUGGAUCACCUUCAAACUCCAGGAAUGCUCUAUCAAUUGAUCUCCACUGAGUCCCAUCAGCGGAGUGUCUCAGCAUCUUAUCUUCUUGACGUUCUUCUUUGUGCCAUCGCAUCAACUUAGCAUUCGCUUUGUUCCUGAACAAGCGCUUCAAGCGUGGUAUUAUAGGAAAAUACCACAUCACUUUCACGGGAACUCUCUUCCUGGGAGGUUGCCAGUCGACAUCACCAGGAUCAUCUUGCCUAAUCUUAUACUGUAGCGCUUCGCACACGGGACACACAUCCAGAUCCUCAUAUUCAGCACCACGAUAGAGGAUACAAUCAUUAGGGCAUGCGUGUAUCUUCUGAACCUCCAAUCCCAGAGGGAAAACAAUCUGUUUAGCUUCAUAUGUUGUGGAUGACAAUUCAUUAUUCUUGGGAAGAAUUUUCUUGACAAUUUCCAACAUCCCCUGAAAUACCUUAUCGGACACACCAUUUUUGGCCUUCCAUUGCAUAAAUUCUAGUGUGGUACCUAGCUUUUUAUGGCCUCCCUGGCAAUCUGGGUAUAGCAAUUUCCUAUGAUCAUCUAUCAUGCGCUACAACUUUGAUGCUUCCUUCUGAAUUUCGCAAUCUCUGUGUGCAUCCCUAAGCACCUGACCGAGGUCAUCAGUAUGGUCAUCUUCUACAAACUCAUCUUCAUCAGCCUCACCCAUUGUAGUAUCUGCAAAAGAUUGGCCUAUAGCGCAGUCCGGAAUGUUGUCAUCAUCCUCCUCCUCUUCACCAUCUUUCAUUACAACCCCUCUUUCGCCGUGAUGGGUCCAAACCAAAUAGUUAGGCGUGAAACCGUAUCUAAACAAGUGGCUGUGAAUAGUCCCCCAGGAAGCCUUUGAAUAGCACUUCUGGUUACUGCAUUGGGCGCAUGGACAAGAUAUGAACCCGUUCUCUGGCUUGUUCGCUUUGGUCACUUCAAGAAAAUUAUUCGUGCUAGCAAUAAACACCUUGCUCCGCUUGUCCACAUUAUACAUCCAUUACCUGUCCAUCUGCAUCGUAUUACGCAAGCCAUCAAUAAAAUAGAUUAUAAUAAAAAUAUCCAUCACAUUGCUAAAAUUUUAGAUAGAAAUACAUAAAUUAAAAUUUCAGAAGCAAACAACAUCAUAGUACGACAAACUCAAAUAUUGCUAAAAGUUACAUAGAAAUACAGAAAUUAUUUAGCUCAUAUUUAAUUUACAAAUAACUAAACUAUUAAAAAAUUUAAUAUUUCCCACAUAAUGUACUUAUUCUAAAAAUGGCUAAUUGCAUACCUCUAUCUGAAAACUAGUAAAGUAUCAAAUUACACCUACAAUUUAUAUGUCUAAUUUAUAAGUAUUAAAAACACAUUUACUCUAAUUUUUACCUAAUACAUAAAAUUGAAAUAAUCCCAAUGCUACCUCACAUUUACUAUCCAUUCUCUCUCACAUUCAAACUAUCCAUCACAUUGUAGCUCAAAAACAUGUAUAAAUACAAAUCCUCUACAUGCUUAACAACAAACAAACUCAUUUUCUCCCUCUCUAAAGUAUAAAACAAAGCUUAACAACAAUAAAUGAACGGAGCAUGAAGUAGCUAACCUUCACAACACUUUGGAUGGGUGAAAUCCCCACGGAAAUGAGGGAAAAAAUUUCAGCAGCACCUCCCCUAGGCUUGCUUCAGCGCCAUGGAGACGAUGAACUUCUCUGUCUUUGUGGAGUGGAGUGGCUCGGGUUGGAGGAGUGGAGGAGGAAGAAAGGGUACUUGUAGAUAAGAUUUUAUUCCGGUUGGUAAAUCCAACCGGACAAAAGAUUAGAGCUUUUGUCCCGAUUGGUGAUUACUCCCGGUUGGUAACGCCAACCGGGACAAAAGCUCCAACCUUUUAUCCCGGUUGGAAUUACCAACUGGGAGUAAAACGGUUAUCCCGGUUGGUGGCUCCAACCGGGAGUAAAGGGUGGCGCCGUCGGUGCCCCGAAACUAGCCGUUUUAACCUAGACUAAAAGGUGGCCUGUAGUCCCGAUUGCAAAAAAGAACCGAGAGUAAAGGUGCGCCCCAUUCCAGCCUACCGUAGCGCACCCCAUUUUCUCCCGGGCCGAAAUUAAACUAAGACUAAAGGGGUUGGGAUCUAAAGUCAAUUCUCUAGUAGUGUAUAUGCUUAAAAUCGUGACAAAAAACCAAAACAUCUAACCAUUAAUAGAUUUGCAUCCUCUCUCCACCUUGGAUAUAUCCCUACUCAAAGAGAAACAAUUUGCCAUCAUGCCUUAGUGACGCAUAGGAUCCAUCUGUAUUACUAUGGUCUCACAUAACGGAUCGUGGAAAGAAAAUAUGCAUACACCUUUUUCUCCAAGCAUCGAUCUGAGAAAAGUGAUAAUGGCUUUGAAGAAGGAGAAGCAAUAGCACGAAGGGCAUUGAGUGCAUAAGGUAGUACAAAACUAAAUAACGAAUAAUAAAUUAGAAAACUAAAACCAUUGCAUACAUAAUUAAUUUUUAUUUUUCUAAAUAAGCGUGCACGUGAGCGUGCCUAUUUCAUUGAUAUAGCAGAAAAGGGUACAACCGGGCUUGCGAGAGAAAUUAAAGUUACAACUCUACUCUUGGGCUAUUAAAGAUGCAAUAGAAUUUCCCCCUGCCUUCACCCAGGCAGAUGCCUCUUUCUUGAUUCUCCAGUUCCUCUCUUUCCUUAGGGCCUGUUUGGGAAGGGGUGUUAAAGCUUAACAGUGUUAAGUUAAACUUUAACACCCUCAAAUGAGGUGUUAAACUUUAACACAUGUGGGGUGUUUGGAUGGGUUGUUAAAGUUUAACACCUUGGCUGGAAAAAUGACUGCAUUACCCCUCAAUAAUGCUCUUAAAUGCUGUCUAAUACCCCUGCACAGCUUUGUGGUUGUUUGACGCCAAGUGCUGGCGUGCUUGCUUUUGGCGCCAAGAGCUGCUCGUGCUUGUGUUCGCUUGCUGCUCGUUCUUUGGCGCCAGGUGCUUUGGGCUUGAUUUUUUUUUCUCAUUCGGCCAAAUGAAAGAACUGAAGGAGAAAAAAUAUUCAAAUUAUUUUGAUUGUCCUACACAAGAUAGAACACAGAGACUACACAAAUGUUGUCAAUCUCAUUACAACACAAUCAUACAAAUAAUCUACGAUUUGUUGUACAAAGCAUUAGCUAAUUCAUCACGAAAUGCAUUCAUAUUACAAUCUUCAUCCGCUGCUUGGGUAUUUGUCGCAUGUCCUUCGUCGUUUGGCACUUCAGCCAUAGGAACGUAAUUUUCAUCCCGAUCGCACAUACCAAAGGCCCUAUUGGUUGUAUCAUUCUCUCGUAUGAAAUUAUGAAUUGCCAUGCAUGCUACUAUUAUUUUACUUUGUUUGUGCAUUGGAAAACUUGGUAUACCCAAUAAAAUCCUCCACUUCAUCUUCAACACUCCAAAUGACCUCUCGAUAACAUUUCUAAGGGUUGAAUGGGCAUAAUUAAAAGUCUCUUUCAUACCUUUUGGCAUUGGGUCACUCCUAAACUCCGGUAGAUGAUACUUUGUACCCUUGUAGGGUGCAAGGUAACCCGGACGAUUUGGAUAACCUGAGUCAACUAGGUAAAAUUUGCCUACAAAUGAAGACAAUUUUCAUGAGGUUAAUAAAGUUGCCACAUUCUACUAUACAAAUGAAAACAAAACAAGUGUACCUGCAGGAGGAUGCGGAAACUUGUCACCAUAUUUGUUUAAGGCAUCAGUGAAGACUCUCAUAUCAUGAACCGAACCAGGCCAUCCACUCACAGCAAACGUGAACCUCAUGUCGAAAUCACAAAUAGCCAGCACAUUCUGUGAGGUAUAUCCGUGUCUCCCGGUGUGCUGAACCAUCUUAUCAUUUGGCACCACAACCGGUACAUGCGUCCCAUCUAUAGCUCCUAUACAAUUGUUGAAGUAUGGGGCAAAACGAGAGUUUUUCAAUCUUUGGUGCACGGUCUUAAAUUCUGGAUCCUUUGACUUAAUAAUAUCCACUGCUAGCUUAAGAACACUUGACAAAACAUUAUCGAAUGUACGGCUUAUUGUUUCUAAGGACCUUACAAACAGGUCCUCAACCUGUCUAAGGGAUUGUGGUGCACCAAUUAUCCAAAGGAACAUUCCUAAAGCCUCCAUCGUUCACAUUCCUCUAGUUGCCCUCAACCCAUAGGUGUCAACCAACAAGUCAUGCAGCUGGUGAAACAAUGGUUUUGACAUCCUAAACAUGUUGUAGCAAGUGGUUCUGUUAGACAGUGUUUCAUGCACCCAUUCUAUACCCGACACAGUAGCAACCCUCUGUGGACCUUUGUCCAUGUAAGUUUCACAGUACGUACCAAUUAUGAUUGCGGCCGUUAACAUGUCCCGAGUCCUUUUACGACGAUACUAUCUCAUCCACAUGAAAGCAAGAAUCUCUUUUGAAAAGUUAUCAUCUGAUGAACUUGUCUCAUCAUCAUCAAAGUAAGAUUCCUAAGGCAGCAAAGAAAAACAAGUCAGUCAAUCCAUACGAAUUACAAACAGCCACAUUUUUAUCACAUUAAAUCCAUAAAAAAUAAAAAACAACCACUAAUUUAUCACAUUCAAUCCUUAAAAAAUGAAAACAACCACAUUUUUAGCACAUUCAAUCCUUAAAUAGAACAAAUAGUUACAUUUUUUACAUAUUCAAUCCAUAAAAAUAACAAACAGCCACAUAUUCAAUCCAUAUUGUUCAAACAACCAGACUUAGUACAUAAAAGGAACUCUAAUUCCCUAAAAUAGCCACAUUCACUCUUUAGGAUAACUAGUUACUACUAACAGUAUGAGGCACAUUCACUCAACAAUAUUGUUCUCUUUGCAAUAUCUCUUCAAGUGAAGUAGCCUUCCUUCAGGAGUAGGUAUGUUGCAAAAAAUUUCCCUCUCAUAUGGAUCUUUGAAUAAGUGUCUGCCUGCAUAGAACUCUACAGUUUCUAGGGUUGCUCCACAUUCCAAAGCCAGCUGUUGACACUUCUUAACAGACUGAACCAUCUCUUGCAUAGGGUUGAGCUUCUGUCUUUUCUCAUUGAGACUGGUUGCAAGACUCUCCCCCACAUUCCUUAAUAAGUUAUCAUCUUUAUCAGAGGUACUCAAUUUCUCAACUAAGCUGCUCACCAUCUUCAUCAAAGGGCUUUUAGAUUUCUUUCUAGGACUAGUGGCCGUUGACUUGGUGCUGGUGAUACUUGCCCUCUUCUUAUUGCUAUUGCUGACUGGGCCAUCUUCAUAUUCAUUAACAAACCCAUCUGGACCAUAUUGAUCUUCUUCCUGUACAUCUUCACCAUCUUGGUCCUCAUCCUCUUCACAACCAGCCACAAAAGAGGUAGAGCCAUCCACUACAACAUCAUGAAACAUCUCCUCUAGGUGAUCAAUGUAAUCUAGAACACCAUACUGAAAUUUCUUACAUUCACUAUAUUUGCCCUGCAAAUGGAUUUUGAUGUUAUACAUCAAUGCACAUAAAAGUUACUGUAAACUGAUUUCAAAUUUAGUGAAUACCCCUCACCUUGGUGUUUUUUGUCCAUAACCAAGCUGGGGCAUAUAUACUACCAUCCCCAUUCCUUCCAAGACCAGUAUCUUUUUGUAUUGCUUUCCAGAAAGUAUGCAAUGUUUUUAGUUGAUUAAUUCUGUUCCUGAUCUGGGACUUCUAAUAUCUCAACCCAGUGGCCAUGUGGUAUUUCUCAACAACUGUCUUCAAACCUCUUGUAGUCAUAGAUCCUUUGGGACAGUUGCCUGAUCUGAUCUGCUCAACCCAUAAAUCACACAACAAACUGGUAUUUUGUUCUGUCCAUUGUGCCUUGUCCCAUCUAUUUAUCUAGUGCAUAACAGAGACAUAGAAACCCAUCACACACAGAACAGGUAACAACAAUGCACAUUAUCACAGUGUAAAACUAACCAACACAAAAUUAACCCAAAUUCCUGUUUCUAACUAUAUCCUGCUUUCUAACUAUUUUCUAACUAAUUCCUAUUUCCAAAAUUAACCCAAACAAGAACAACCUGAGCAGGUGAACCUUAACAACACAAUGUACACCAUAUCAUUCUUUCUGAACUACCAACAUGGACUACCAUUUCAUCUUUCUGAACUACCAACGUGGACUAAGCAAGCACACAAUGUAACGUAGCAAAACCAUGAAUAGAUGAACACAAAUUGUAUCUUGCCAAAACUAAAAUAGAUGAACAAAUCAAAGAUGAACAGAUCAAUAGGAUGAGUAUCAGAACUAACCUUGGAGGUGGGGAAAAUAAGUUCGACAUUCUGUGGACCACCUUCUUCGUCGUCAACAUCAACCCAAUCCUCUCCACUAAAGGAUUGGGUAUAAUCAGCAGUGGCUGUACCUCCACGACCGCUGGAACGUCUUCUGCGGCCGUAGGAACGGCCUCCGCUGCGUCCGCCGCUGCUACCGGCACCGUCGGGCAACGAACCAACGAAGAGAGGCCUUGUCGCAGGUACUCUGCUGCGUCCACCGCUGCUACCGGCUCCUCGGCUACCGCUGGCACCUUUGCUGCCGCCGCCACCUCUGCCACCGCCACCUGCUCUGCUGCCGCUGCCUCCUCUACCUCCACUGCGAGGCCCGUGUAAGCCGAGGGUACGGCUACCGCGGCCCCGGGGUGCUCCUUCUCCCCGAAGCAUCUCGGUGUAGGAGUUGUAGUCGGCAAAAUCUUCGGCCUGGGUAUUCAGAUCCAGGGCUUGCAAGCCCUUGCGAGGACCUCCAGAAGAUUCCGCCUGCGAGAAAAGGUCGAAGGCGCCAGCGGGGAAAGGUGGAUCCGUGUGGGGGAAAAGCUCUUGCAAUCCAUCGUCGCCGUGCCCGUCCAUGAGGCCUGGGGAAGGGUUCAGGGCAAUGCGGCGCACUCCUAGCGGCGUCGAUGCCGUGGAUCUGGGACGCGGUGGGGGAAAACGAAGAAGGGCGGGAGGGGAGUUCCUGGAGGCGGGGUGGGGAUGGCGGUGGGGGAAAGAAAUGGAUUCGGAGGGGAAGGUAACGGGAGGGAGAUAACGGGGAGAGGGGAUGGCGGGAGGGGAUGAACCGCGGGCGGGAUGGAUGGCUGGCAGGAGGAGAUGGCGGCUAGCGCGGAGGAAGCGAUGCGCCGGAGGGAGGGUGGGGAACAGAUGCGGGAGGGGAAGGAGUGGGGGACAGAUGCGGGAGGAGGACGCGCUGACGGCGGGUAGGGGAGAGAGAAGAGGAGAGAGACAGGGGGCAACCAGGGAAUAAGUGGGGAGGGGGACCACUUUUAACACCUUUGGCAACCAGGGAAUAAGUGCCGCGCAUGCGUUGCCGCCGCAUUCGAGGUUGCCCGGCAGCAGUGCGCUCUCGGCAAGGACGACACCGUCUUCUAUGACGCGUGCCCCCUCCGCUUCUCCGACAAGAAUUUCCUUGAACUCCUCCAUAAUGAUUCCAUGGCAGCUUCAGCAGAUUUCAGCGAUGGUGCGCUCAUCUUGAUGAAUGUCACCACCGAGCCCUUGUUCUCUGAUAGGCACAAGAAGGACCUCAUCACCCACGUCAUCAACAUGGCGCUGAAAAACACAGUGCAGACGGUGUUCAACAACACAGGGAAGCACUCCGCCGCAAUCCGC
rnacentral:lncRNA from 1 species